rnacentral:lncRNA from 1 species
UGAAAAAAAACUGUUUUUAACCUGUUCAGCCGGUCAUUUUUCUUGUUUGGAGGUUUUUUAUGAUAAAAAUGUCACUUUGAAGGUUAAAAAUGCUAGUGAAAAAACUUCAAGGUUUGAAGUGUUAGUAAGUGACACUUUCAAUGUUUUUUAUGCGAUUUUCCCGAUUAUUUUACAUAUGUUCGUCCCUAUUAUAUUUUAUUCGAAAAGCUUUUAGGGAAAAAAACACCAUUGAUUUUUUUUGUCAAAUGCACCAACGAUGGAUAAAAGAAGAUAUAGGGCAUGAAUAUGAUAUAUAGUCUUUCAAACCCAAUAUCGAGGGCAACUGAUCUGAAAAUUAGUGUGUUAUAAGUUUCAAUCCUGAAAACUAUAACCUGUUUUUUGAAUUCGUUAUUUGAUUAUAUACCACAUUAUGUAAGAUGAGAAUUUAUUCAUUAUAUAUAUUUCUUAGUCAAAUUUAUUCGUUUUUUUUUUUUUUUUUGUCAAACUCAAACUUGGGAAUGAUAAAUAUGAUUUUUUUUUUUAAACAAGAUAUACUGAAGCAAUGAGAUCAAUCAAACACGAUGGGCAAAUUAUGAACCCACCCACCAUUAUUAAUGAAGUCGAGACUACACAAACGUUGAACGAUGGGAUCACUCGGCUUCUUAACCCAUCUCACACGUUUCCUCGUACUAGAUCCACUUCCAAAGCAUCCAACUUCUGCAUACGUCGUCUGUGAUUCGCGGCCCACUAAGUUCCAUGGGAACAACCACGUUGGUCAAAUUAGUGUUGCAAAAGAUCACUCGAGAGUAAUUCCCCCACGGUCUGCCCAAGUAAGCCUUCCCCGUUCCGUGAACAAGGCUAUCUAUGAACACGAAUCCAUCCGCAUCGUCCGGGAGUGCCCGUGAUUGAGCCGUUAUGUAUCCAGCAUGCUUCCGUUUUAUGGUCUCUCCUAGCAUUUGAAUAUCACAAUUCUUGUAAAUAGAUUGGCCGCUCCCGAAGAUGAAAUCAACGGCGCCUUGGAUAGUGCAACGGUGAAAAAAGUGUCGACCAUUCUUAUCCCACAAGGUAUCUUGAACUCCAGCAAACCCUACCGAGUAAAAAGCACACUUAUCACCUUCGAUCAUCGCCGCCGCCGCUUGAGUGAUAUUUUUCUUCGCUUUCCCGUUAUUAGGUAAAUUAUACAUAUUCACGAAGGUGAGGCUCUUAACGACGGUGUUAUUUGCGGAAGUAGCAAAAGUAGGACUUUGCUCAGUCGUGGCAUGGUCGUCCCAUUCAACCCUAGUUUUACUCGUUCCAGCUCCCAUUAGUACAAUGGAGGGUUUAUCACGUGGUAUCUUUAUUUUCUCCCUAAGGCAUAUAAGAGAAGAAAAAAACGUUACGUACAAAGCAUUUUUGCAUAUAUGUAACUAUACUGACUUGUAAAGGCCGGCUGCAACGUUGAUGAAGAACCAAUUACGAUUGUUGGCUGGAACCGAAUCGAUAGCUUUUUGUAUUGUCGUGAAAUUGCCAUUGCCGGAUUGAUCCACGAACACUUGUUCAGCUUCUAUUAGAUGAGGUAGACAAGAAACAACAAAAAAGAGUGACAAAAGCGAUGAAAAUUCGAUGAGUUGCCAUUAGAGAAUAUAUCAGAACGUAAGAGAUUAAGGGUCUGACUGGUUCAAACGCAGCAGUUGCGGUUGCGGCUGCGGACGUUUGCGGAUGCGGGUGGUUGCGGUUUCUAACGGUUUUAAGAGAUUUGUACGACUGGUUAUGCGGUUAGAAAUUGGUGCGUUUGCGGGAUACUUAUGACUGGUUAACUACCAAAUACAGCAGCGGUUAAAUAAUAAAUUAACAAUAUUUACAUUUUAUAUAAUUAUAAAAAUAUCAAAAAUCAUAAUAUUAUAAUAAAUAUGUAAAUUAUAUUUUCAAAGUUAUAGUUUUAAAUUUUUUAAAUUAUAGAAAAUAUUUUUAUUUUAAAAUUUUAUAAUAUUAAUUAAAAUAUAAUAGAUAUAUUUUAGUAUUUUUAUAAUUCCAUUUUAAAAAUUUUAUUUUUAUUUUUAUUUUUGUAUUUAUAUGGUUUUUUUUAAAAAAAGAAAAAAAAAUUAUCCUCCCGCAACCGCCCGCAACCGCAAACGCUAGCUGGAACCAGCUUUUGAUUUUAAGAGGUUCGGAGCGGUUUGAUGCGAUUUGUAGCGGUUUGUAUGAUUGUUUCGAAACGCUGUCAACCGCUACCAAUCGCAAAAGCUGCGUUUGCGGGUGGUAGCGGGAAAACCAAUCAAGCUCUAAGUGGGACAUGUAUAUAUUCAUUAUAUAGCUAGCUUAUGCGUUUUUAUGGACAACGCGUUAUAUGCUACUUAUGUAACUUUUUUUGGAUCGAUUGGCGAAAAUGAUCGUCUAUGACUCGUUUGAUAGUGACUUGGCAACUAUUGUUUAACAAAUCAUAACGAUCUACUCUUCUCAACUACUUUUUAAGCCAUCCAUGCAGCUCCCAUGGCCGGUACGAAGCACACUUUGUUGUUGAACAAAGAACCACAUGCACCAACCGGAGCAGUUUAUUACAUACAUGGAAGUAUUGUUCUUAGUUGGAACACUAACUAAUUGUCUUCAUAUAUAUGAUAUGGAAAUCUGUCUUUUAUUCACACUGAUAUAUUGGUAAUCAAAUUCAUGUAUUUUAUGUUUCGUUUAUUACAUAUUUUAUAAAUGUCGAACUUAUUCAUGACUGUAUUAAAUUUUGAUAUUAUACACGUACGUACUAAAUUUCUAAAUGAGUGUAUCAAUUAAUUAUUAUUCAAAAAUGUAUUUUUUAGCUAUUUUCCUUAUAUUAACCUAAAUUCAACUACAUUUAUUUCAGUACAUAAAAAAUAGUAAGAUUCAGCUAAUCAAACAAAUAAAACAAAACAUACUACUUAAAAAGUGAAGCACCAAAUUUGUAAAUGAAUCAACGACUAAGAUCACAAUGGAAACAGAAAUAAAAGAAACUGAGUAUGAAUUCAGAUUCAUUAAAAGUAGUAUAAGAUUCAGCUAAUCAAACAAAGAAAACAAAACACAUGACUAGUUAACAAGUGAAGCACCACAUUUGUAAAUUAAUCAACGCCUAAGAUCACUAUGGAAACAUAAAUAAAAGAAAUUGAGUAUGAAUACAGAUUCAUUAAAAGUAGUAUAAGAUUCAGUUAAUUAAACAAAGAAAACUGUGUUAAAAAAACAAUUUAACAAAGAAAACAAAACGCAUAACUAGUUUUAGUAAGAGAAGCACCAACUUUGUAAAUGAAUCGACUACUAUUAUUGAGUUUUUUUAUUUUAAAUUAGUUUUUUAUCAAGUUUUCUAUUUUUUAUUUAUUUUUGAAUUAUUAUUUAAUUUUUAGUAUUUUAUUAGUUAAAGAUGAUUUUUUGAAAAAAAACCGGCACAUCAUCGGUUUUACAUAUACAGCUGGUCAUAUGUUUACUUGAUGAACAAGUAAAUCAGGUUGAAGAGAUUUUGUGAUACAAAUAUCACCCUGAAAGUUAAAAUGGUAUCAAAAAAAUAUCAAGGUUUAAAGUUUCAGUAAGUGUCAUUUUAUGGUUAUAUGUGAUUUCUCAUUCUCCAAACAAAGUAAAAUUCUUAAAAAUUCAUAUUGUACUGAUAUAUGAGAUUUUUUGGAUUUUUUUGAAUUUUUUUUCUGAAUUUUUUUGUUGUCCAGGAAAUUUUGGAUUCAUAUUUGAUAAUGUAUAAAUUUGAUUUUAAAAAAAAAAACUUAAUAAUCUAUCAAAACAAGCAUGACCACAUUACCAAGUUUGAUAAACUCAAAGAUUCUUGUUUCAUUUGAUUGGAGAAAAUGAUUGUCUAUGACUCUCACGUCUGAUCUUCACAUGGCACUUAUUAUUUAACAAAUUAUAAAGAUCCACUCUUAUCAACUACUUUUUAAGCCUUCCAUGCAGUUCCCAUGGCCGAUACAAAGGAAACUUUGUUGUUGGACAAAGAACCAAGCCAACCAGAGCAAUUUAUUACACUCAAGUGUUGUUCUUAGUUGGAACACUAUCCGCGUGACCUUUUUAGGAACAAGAAAAAUGAAUAGGACACAAAUGUAUAGAAAUGAAAUCGUAAAAAUUAAAAGAAACACUUUUUCUUCUCAAAUUUAACCAAUAUUUUUCUACAAAAAAUGAACAAAAAAGAAUAAUAAAAAAAUAAUUCUGCCUAAGUAGUGAUUUUUUUAAGAAUGAUAAGGAAUUCAAUGUUUGUCUUCAUUGGUCACUAUUCAAAACUAAUUGUUCAUAUAAUAUGGAAAAAUAUCCUUUAUCCAUGUUGAUAUAAUGUUAGUCAAAUUCAUAUACUUUAAGUUUAAUUUAUUAUCUAAUAAACAUCAAACUAUUCAUGAAUGAAUGAAUUUUCGAUAUUUUAUACAUGAAUGUAUCAAAUUUAUACAUGAGUGUAUCAGUUAAUUAUGUAUUCAGUUUAAUGUAUUUUAAGAUAAUUUUUGUAUAUUUAGCAGAUUUUCAACUACAUAGAUUUCAGUUUCAUUAAAAGUAUAGUAAGAUUCACUUAAUCAACACAAAGAAAACAAAACACAUGACUAGUUAAUAAGUGAAGCACCAAAUUUGUAAAUGAAUCAACGACGAAGAUCACAAUGGAAACAAAAAUAAAAGAAAUUGACUAUUUAAAUAAAUAACAAUGACUCUGGAAAUAGAUCUCAGACAUUGUUCAUAUAUAUAAACACACGUGAACAACCAAUAUAUGCAAGAAACAAAAAGAACAAGAAAAAAAAACUCUUCUCUUUUCUUCAGACAAUCUAAUACACACAAAUACAGAAGUUUCAUCAUGAACUACUCUCCUAAGACGGUGUUCUUGUUCUUCCUCUCGUGCAUUGUGCUGAUUUUCAACUACGGCCUCGUCACCACCGCAGCAAGUAACGUAGGCUUGAAUUACGGCCUCCUUGGAGACAAUCUCCCACCUCCAUCAAAUGUUAUCAACCUCUACAAGUCCAUUGGCAUUACCAAAGUCCGUAUCUUCGACCCAAAUACCGAGGUUCUUAAUGCCUUACGCGGUCACCGCGAUAUCAAAGUCACCGUAGGCGUUAGAGACCAAGACUUGGCUCCUCUUGCAGCCAGCGAGGACGCUGUUAAAGCCUGGUUCGCGACCAACAUCGAGCCUUAUUUAUCCGACGUCAACAUCGCUUUCAUUACCGUUGGUAACGAAGUCAUCCCUGGACCGAUCGGUCCUCAGGUUCUUCCCGUCAUGACGUCUCUCACCAACCUCGUCAAGUCUAGGAAUCAUCCGAUCUCCAUAAGCACUGUUGUGUCCAUGGCAAACCUCGGACAGUCCUACCCGCCUUCCGCGGGAAUGUUCACGUCCCAGGCACGUGAACAACUCACCCCGGUGCUGAAGUUUCUGUCUCAAACGAGUACGCCGAUCCUCGUCAACAUCUACCCUUACUUCCCUUACGCAACCGACCCGGUGAACAUUCACCUCGACUACGCCAUUUCCAAGAGCAAGGCCGUCGUGGUACAAGACGGACCACUGGGAUAUUCAAACAUGUUUGAUGCAAUGUUCGACGCAUUCUUGUGGGCAAUGGAGAAGGAAGGAGUGAAGGGUUUACCAAUGGUGGUGUCUGAGACGGGAUGGCCGUCCGCGGGCAACGGAGACAUGACCACGCCGCUUAUUGCAGCUACCUAUAAUGGAAACUUUGUGAAACAUGUAGAUAGCGGCAAAGGGACACCAAAGAGGCCUAACAGCCGUGUCGACGGGUUUUUAUUUGCAACGUUCAAUGAGAACCAGAAGCCGCCAGGGACUGAACAGAACUUCGGAUUGUACAAUCCUGUUGAUAUGAAACCUAUCUAUAAGCUGUUUUGAGUGUGAAAGUUUCUAUGACUUUCCUGUUUUUUUUUACUAAUAAUAAUGCUCUAGUUGUUUUUUUGCUUAAUUAAAGUAAAGAUUAACAACAAUAUAUACCGCAUGUAAUAAUAAUAAACUAUUGGUUUCAAUGAGAUGAUGAAAUCUCUUAACAAAACAUAUAUAGUUUGGCUUUGGAAUCUUUUUUUUUCUUCUGAUUAUUAGUACAAGAGAAAUGCUCUUUUAUGUUUUUCUGAUUUAUUUAUUUUACUAAUUAAUCUCCAUCUUUCCUCUAAUUAGUUUUUUUGGGUAAUUCUCUCAAAUAACAUUUUUAAGUUUUUGUCACAAAAUAUCUUUAAAAAAUAUUUAAAAUAGCUCAUUUUUGUUUUAAAUUUUUGAUUUUGAUUUUUUUAUUUUUUUUUUAAAUUGAAACUAUGUUUCCAAAAUCCCAUUCUUUAAUUCUAAACUCUAAGUUUAGAAUUAGUUAAUACUAAGGUAAAAAUACACUUCAAAAAUUGUAUUUACUUUUUAAUAAAAUUUAUUUUGGUCAUUUUCUCACAGAAUUCUAUUUUUACGACAAAAAAAAAAUGCUGAAUUUCUCUUUUUUUUUUUCUUUUCAUAAAACUUAUUUUUGCAUUGAUUCGUUGAUAUUCGACUGAUUAAUUACCACCAACCCGUCUGGUAAUAAAAUGCCACAAAAAUGAUGAUGAUGUAACGGUUUACAACGGUUUAAAAUACAACGAACGGUGAGAUUCGAGUGGUCUGACUCAGACCGGUCUAUCGAUUUGGAUUCAUCUCCAAUCAUUUCUUCUUCCCUCUGAUCCCACGGAAAAACCCUAACACCCAAUCCUCUGAUCAGAGAGAGAGAGUAAUCGUCAAAGUCAACCCAAGGGAUUCGAAUCAUCAUCGCCACACUCGCACACACACAAUCUUCGAAUCUUAGAAAUAGAAAAUGUCGUCGGAGAUUGAGGUGGUGGAAGAAGUCGAAUCGAAUAAUGUCGAAUCGAGUUCAAAGCCGGUUGAAGAGGAGAGCUUGAAGAACGAUGUGUACACUGCAUCGGCUUACGGCGAUUUGGAGAAGCUUCAUAGAUUGGUGGAGUGUGAGGGUUGCUCUGUCUCUGAGCCCGAUGGGCUUGGCUACUAUGCUCUUCAGUGGUCUGCGUUGAACAAUCGUAGUGCUGUUGCUCAGUACAUUAUCGAGGUGGUUGCGAAAGUUCAAUCCUUUAUGUGGUUGUGGAGAGUUUUUUUUUAUAAUUGAUUUGGUUGUCUUGAUUUGGGGGUUUGACAGCACGGUGGAGAUAUUAACGCGACGGAUCAUACGGGACAGACUGCAUUGCAUUGGAGUGCUGUUCGUGGUGCGGUGCAAGUUGCUGAACUCUUGCUGCAAGAGGGUGCAAGGGUUGAUGUAACGGAUAUGUAUGGAUAUCAGGUUUAACUCUACUUACUUUAUUAUGGAGAUUGUUUUGUUUCGUUGCUAGUAAGCUGCUCUUUUGCAUGUUGCUUGAGGUUGGCACUCAGGUUUUGUAACUAGUAUUGGUUGUCAUAUUGUGGUUGCAUUUUUCUAGUGUGUUGUGAGGCUCAUGUAGUUAACUUAGCACUUCGUACUUUUCCACUCGUUUUGCUUAGGAAGAUGUGUUCAAUCAACGUUAUGCAUAUGGCUUGAUCUAACUCCAUACCUUAACCUUGGGGAAUUAAUUUACUUUGUCUUGGAACGAUAUUGAGCAGUCUCAUGACCCAUUAUUCAAAGUUUUCUCAAAAAUAGUGAGAACUUUCAUUUUACCUGGAUUCAGUCAGGUUUUAGAAAUUUCAUAGUGAUGUCGAAUUCACUUAGAAAUCUCAGGAGAGAUUGCCCCUGCCGUUGGUUUAGGUGGUUGAAAAGUUUAGGUCUUCUUAUUCUCGGAAUUUAUUAGUAAAGCUGGAAUUCAAGUUUUACGCUGGAUGCUAUCAAAUUUCCAUUCUCUUGUUUAGUUCUCGAUGGAUGCAUAUUCAGCUUAAACUUUUUGUAGCCAACACAUGUUGCGGCACAGUAUGGCCAGACUGCUUUUCUCUGCCACGUCGUCUCAAAGUGGAAUGCUGAUCCUGAUGUCCCCGAUAAUGACGGAAGAAGCCCCUUGCACUGGUAAGGUUGCCGGGUUGAUUCGUUGAUGGUUUUUGGCUUCUUUUCAUAUUUACACUCCUAAUGCUUAGGUUCGCAUGCUCAUUUUGGAGACUGGAUAAUUGUACUUUUUUUGUUUCCUUAGCAUGUUGUUCCUCUAGGCUGUUAUAGUUGUCAAACAAUGUUUUUGCUGGCUGCCUGGCUCUCGAGUUCUCUUGUUAUAAAGAUCUGUGAAAUAUGUAUUUCUGUUUCGAUCGAGAAACUAAAACUUUAUGGGUUAAUUUGUUCUCGUAGUUAUUCUGAGAAUUCUUUACUGUUGCAUCAUGCAUGCAUUAUUCUGCUGCAUGGUUUCAAGCUUGCUUAUGCUGACACCUCCAAAUUUUAUCGCUAAUUUUCAGUAACUAUCCAGGAGAGUUCUAAUUAUCGUUCUUUUCUUCUCGUGUUUUGAGAAAUUCAGGGCUGCAUAUAAAGGCUUUGCAGAUUCCAUUCGUCUUCUUUUAUUUUUGGACGCAUAUAGAGGACGGCAGGACAAAGAAGGUGGUUUUCAAACAUCUUUCUUUGUCCUCUUUAUUUAUAUAGUUAGAUUAGAAAACCAAAAACAUAUCAUCUUUUCUCCAUUCCAUCGACUCUGUUAUCAGGUUGCACUCCUUUGCAUUGGGCUGCCAUUCGAGGUAAUUUGGAAGCUUGCACUGUAUUGGUUCAGGCUGGGAAGAAAGAGGAUUUGAUUAUUACUGACAAUACCGGGCUUACCCCCGCACAACUUGCUGCUGAAAAGAAUCACCGACAAGUUUCGUUUUUCCUUGUAGGUGACAAUACUGACACUUUUUUUUAGCUAUACUGUCUAUUUGAUGCUCUUAGUGGCUGCUACUUAUAGCUAUAUAUUGUACUUGAAUCAUUCUAUUGGCCUUAUGUUGUUGUGUUGUGCAUCUCACUAGACCUUUUCAUACCUGGAAACAAAUUACUGUUUUGUAGCUGCUCCAUGUCAGUUUCUUCAAACCUGCAGUUUUUUAUAAUCAAAAUGAUAACAUCAUGAUUGGAAUACUGAGAAACUUAUUUCAAAUAUUUUUGUCUUAAUAUUUGUCUGAUAAACACUUCAUUGCAGGGCAAUGCUAGAAGGCUGCUUGAAAAGCGGUGUGACGGAAGCACCCCCCUCGGAAAAUUGUCAAAGUUGGGACUUGCUCCAGUUCUUUGGUUCAUGAUCCUGCUGCUUCUUCUCAUAUAUACUAAUUCUGUUAUUUUGGGUUGUUACCUUGGCCUUCUUGGAUCUCUUUUGUUGCAACAUAUCAAGUAACUGUUCUAUGCAUGCCUACUUAUUAUUUUAUGAACCUUUUUUUCACUGCAGCAUCCAAUCUGCCAAAGCUAACAACUGGGAUUGGUUCGAUUGCGUGGCUGGGAUUCUUCCUUGCAACAGCAGGGCUAGCCUUGUUUUACCGCUGUAGCAAGUAUAUUCUCACCCUAUCUUGCUUCAAUUUCUUUUGAAGGCUUUACUUCCCUGCAGUGCGAAUUUCUUGUUUUCCUGUGUAGUAGUAGUUCGAAAAUACCUUUGUAUCUCAAGAAGUGGUUUUCUUGUCGUUUUUAAUAUAAAUCUUUUGUUUAUUACAGAAAGGAUCCAGGUUACAUCAGAAUGAACAGACAUGAUCCGCAGACCAUGAAAGACGAUGUUGGUACCUUUAACUUUAUUGGCUCUCUUGUUUGAUUGACAUAAUUGUCCACAUCUUACUCGAGUACUAUGUUUCUGUUCAAGCGCCAUCAUAAAUUUGCUUGCCCCUUUACAGGAACCACUGUUGAAAAUAGAGCUAAACAACCCUGCUUUGCUUUCUGGGAAUUGGACGCAGCUGUGUGCAACGUGCAAGGUACUUCCUCAGCAUCCCCUUUAUGUCUUUCUUGAAUAUUAACGCUAAAUAUCAAAUAGGUUAUGCACAACACGGAACGUAAUUCUUAGCGUGUACUUUGUUUCUCUUUGUUCAGAUAAUCAGACCUCUUCGAGCUAAGCACUGUUCCACCUGUGAUCGUUGCGUAGAGCAAUUUGACCACCAUUGUCCUUGGGUUUCAAACUGUGUCGGAAAAGUAAGUACAUAUUUCAACCCCCAUUUCAGUUGCUGAAAAAUAUAAAGUGACAAAAUAGGAUAGGACAGAUCAGGCUUUCGAUACUAACUUUCAAUAACUAAAUCUGCCUUAUUUUAUCUCGUUUCAUUUGAUUUGACCAGGCUUCAAUGCCUUAGAAAUCAAAAGAGAUGUUUCUUGGUAUCGCAUUACCUCUUCUAUUUAUUUUGCUUGCUAGUGGUUUUGAUCUAUUAGUUUUGCAGCUCGAGGGUGAUACUAAUCCGUGGAUCGAUUUGUUUUUCACUUAUCACUCUUGCAGAAAAACAAGUGGGACUUUUUUCUUUUUCUUCUACUUGAAGUUCUAGCGAUGCUGAUAACUGGUGGCGUCACUCUUGCAAGUAUGUUUGUAACAGAAGAUUCCCUUUAAAGCUUAUCCUGAAAUUUAAACCCUGGAGAAAACUUUCAGACAGAAAUGUAAACGAUGUGUUAUACACAUGCAGGAGUCUUGAGUGACCCUUCAGCUCCAUCUUCGUUUGGAGCAUUGUUGAGCCAUGUCGCUAGUAAUCACGUUGGUGCAUUAUCCUUUCUGGUUAUUGAGUUCUGCCUCUUCUUUUCAGUUACCGUCUUAACAGUCGUACAAGCGUCUCAGGUUUGUCCACACGCUUUCUUUUAUUUUUCUUCACGUGUUUGUUCCUCUUAUGAUCUAAAUGGUACAGAGACUAUUCUUGUCUACUUCUCUUCCCUGUAUUAAUGAUCUCUACAUUAGCUCCAGUGGAGCUAGAACUCGCUAAGUAGAGUAGAGAACAUCAUCUGUCUCUUUUUUUCCUUUACAGAUAUCGAGAAAUAUAACCACGAACGAAAUGGCUAAUGCGCUGCGCUACAGCUACCUAAGAGGUCCUGCAGGUCGCUUCAGGAAUCCUUACGAUCACGGUUGCAGAAGAAACUGCUCGGACUUCUUGGUGAAAGGUUAUAACGAAGAUAUUGAGUGUCAUGAAGAAGACACAACACCGAGACAAGAGGGUAUAAGCAUGAUGCAGAUGCAGCGGAGUUCUAAUCUUCAGAAUGGCAAUGGCCACGUUGCUAUCGAUGUUAGCCCGGUACAUAAUUCGCAGUCAGCACAUGUUCAUUCUUCAAACUGCAGCCAUAGCCACAGCAGUAAGUCAAAAAGUGAUAGUGUUCCUUUAGGUUUGGGACUUGGUCUUGGCCGGAACCCAACCCGACCUGUUGUACCUCCAUGAUAUGGUCGUCUUCCAACUGUGCAUUUGUGUUGUAAGAAACACGUGUCCUCUUGUCUGAGUCAUUAUAACAUCCCAUUUCUAGUGAAGAUAGUUGUUUAGCAGAAAAGGUUGUACGUUAUGUUUUCUAAGUUGAGGUAUGAAAGUUUGAACCACAAGUAUCAAUCAUUGCUUUUUCAAAUCAUAACCAAAUGUAUAUUAAUCGUCACAAACACAGCAUUACUAUACAUGUAACAACGAACUACAAAGGGGAAAAGAAAGACUGCUGUUGUGUAUAUGAUGAUGAUUAACAUGAGAGGUAACGUUGCAAACAACUUGGUAGACAAUGUGUGAGUGUGACCUAAUAGGCUAAUACUGCGUCGUUAACGACGUUGAUAGUGUUUAGGCAAAGUUGUAUUCAGGGGCGAAGCCAGGUUACCCACUAUGGGGGCCUGUGCACCCGUAAUAUUAAGUGAUAAUGUAAUUUUCGUGUAUAGAAACAAUAAAUUUCAGCUAGAACAGAUGGAAAAAUGUUGGUGUGCACCCAUAACAACCAAGGUUCAAUUCUACCUUUUGACAUGUUUCUAUUUUAUUAUAAAGAGUGCACCCAGUCAUUAUACAUCCUGGAUUCGCCCCUGGUUGUAUUACAUUUCCAUUUGCAAGUUAAUGGUUAAUCUACUACAAGAUAGAAGCUUGUUUGUUCUGUAAUAAAAUGCGAAGGUCAUGCCAUGAAAAUCCAGUUGGACAUUGCCCACAUUUUAUAGAUUACAGUACGCCUAUCAUGAUUCAUGAAUAUACUACCAAAGAUAGAAUCUAUAUACUGUACUUUUGUCAAGUCUCAAAUUACAACAAAGCUACAAAAUCUUAUCAUUAACUACGUCUACGUGUAUGUGACAACGAAACGAUUCUCAAGAAGAAAUAUCUAAUUAAUUAUAGAAAAAAACUCGACAAGAUCCUUGAUUCUCAGUAUCUCUUCUUUCCUUUUGUGUCUUAUACAUGGGGUGUUCAACAAAAGUUGAAUCAUCAUUUAAUGACUGCAUGUACUUAGUGUAUCUCUCAUUGUAUAAAUAAAAAAAAUGGAAACUUCAUCGUCAGACUGACUCAGACAUACCAAAAGUGAAAACGUAAAGCUUAGCGAACGUAGAUGAUCAGAGUUUAAAUGACUCAGAUCAACAAAGUUUCUAAUGAAAAAAAUUAAGAAACCAAAUCAAGAACACGUCCUAGUGAUGUCAUCAUCAUGUACAUUGCACACAAACUUCGAUACACCGCGCCAAGGAACACCAAAACAUAGUUCCUUCACACGCAAGAAACAAAUUAAAAAAAAAAACCUAGAUUAUUACUAUUUAUUCUAAUCCUUCGGAUCUUUAUGCAUCCCAUAGAAUCGGCUAAGCCGUGGCCUGAACUCAAAACGACGACGGAUAAGUAGAGACGACGGUUUAACAAUACUCUCCGUCAGAUACUUCCUAAACCGCUCCGCCUCCACGCUCCCGAUCCUCGCCAGCGAAUUCGCCAGAGCCAAUUUUCUCAGAUACAUCCCCGAAUCACCACUCUUCGACUUGUUCGACAAAGCUUUGAUCUUCUCGCUCUCCAAUCGGCGGUGAAAGCCGCAGCGGAACGAUCCGGGGUGCGUCGUCGGAGAGCACGAGCACUUCCGAACGGCGGAGGAGGAGGGAGGGCUGUUUCCGAGGGAGAACCUCUUUAAACGGAGGUUGAUGUUGUUGCAUGGAGACGCCGAUCUUUGAUGACGGUGGGAUGAAGAGUGAGGGUAUAGAACUGACGAGCCGUUUGAUCUUCUUCCAGUAGCCGCCAUGACUUGCUGUUAGAGAGAGAAAGUUGAAGAAACUGUUUAGAGAGAGAGAGAGAGAUGCGUUUGUGUGUUUGUGUGUUAAUUAAUCCGUUUCUGUUGAAAGAUUCACCGAUUCCGUUUGAUUCGCGUCCCUCUAUUUAUGGCGGUUACGCGUGGUCAUUAUUGUAAUUUUAAUUACUAAUUUAAUCAAACCGGACUUACGUACCGGAUUGGAUUAGGAGAAACCGGAGUCAAAAACCGUAGUACUUUCUCUAAUAGUAUUUGAAUUCGUCUUACUACUCUGAACCAGAGAUGAAAUUGAAUUUUUUUCUAAUCCGGAAAAGUUUAAUUCAUAUUUCGAAUUGUUUUGCUCAGGAGAAAUUUUCGCGAUUUGGCUAAUUCACCCUAUCUUUUAAAGAUAUUCGGAUAAUCUUUUGAGAAAAUGAAACUGUGUAACUUUAUCUUCAUAGACCGACUUACUUGUUAUUGUUAUAGUUAUCUUGUUACAAAAAAAAACAUACAAUACAUUUGAAAUUUCUAAAAGGGUGAUGACAACCGGUUAAACCGGGGCAAAUUGAACCAAAAAAAUUCCCUUACCCAACUUAAACCAGAAUGCCUGCACUAUAGCCAGAACACGCGCAAUACCAUAAACACUGAGCUAGUGAACAAAACACACUGCUCUCUUUUACCAUUUCUUUCACCUAUACAUAACCAAAGUCUAUAUAUUUGCUUUCUUUUGCUCAAGAAUGAAGAAGAAACCAAAACUCUCACUAUGAGUCAUGAUCCUUACUAAACUUCUGAGGCUUACUACUUGCAAACGCCAACCAUACAACCGUCCCCGUCAAGUAGAAGAAUAUUGAUGGCGCAAAUAGAGACAUCUACCCACAACAAAAUCAACAAUUAGUUUUAAGUAAUGAACAUCAUGAUUUGAGGUAAAGUUAGCAAACUUACAGUCCAUGAAUGGGUCGAGUCGAGGAGAAAACCAGUUAAAGCCACACCUACGAUUCCAGGUACUGCCCCUACUGUAUUGGUAAUGCCCUAAUAAAGACACCCAUAACAAGUUUAGCAAGAAACUAUAUCUUCACACUUAAACUAUAGUUUCAUAACUCAUUGGCGUCACGCUUGGACUAAUGUUUGGUUCAUCAUAAUUAAAAGUAAGAAGAGCUUUAGAAGGCAUCAUAUGGUCUAAAAGUAUGAGAAACGACAUGUACCAGGAGUAUGCUUGCAUAUUCGGGUGAGAUGUCCUGAUGAGUACAAUAAAGUCCUGUAAAAAGGAAUCAUGAUGUUGUUACUUGAAAAAUCAUGAUGGAAAAUUAAAUAAAAGAUCUACUGUUACCUGAUAAAGCAAAACUUGAUAAGGCCAAGCCUGCUGUCAAGAUUCCGGCAAUUUCCCAAGGUGGCAAUCCAAUGUCCACAGAUGAAAGUGUCAUGCAGAUCGCUGGUGCCACGAACGCAAUCGUUUGACAUAUCUUUCGAACCUACAUGAAAAGUUCCCCAACGAGUUCACAUAUUAAUAAGACCCUUUUGAUUUUUUAAAAAGGGUUUGUACACAAGGAGAAGGAAUGUGAAUUUUAUACCGUGGUGGUCUCAACUCCAUUUGAGAUUAAGUAGUCAGCGAAUUGAGAAGCAAGACUUGUCACGAAGAUUGAAGCUAAUGGAGGAAGGAUGGAAACCUGAUCUUCACAUCCACAUAUUAAAAUCCCAAAAUGUUAUACCUUUUUAAAAUAUAUCUCCAAGCAUUUUUUUUGUUAAAUGCAAAGGAUAACACAGAUAGUUCUAAACUUACCCAAGCAGCGUCUCUCAAAUUUAAACUCAGCGCCUCACUGCAUACCAAAAAUAUGAUCAAAAUUACUUUCUUCAUCAAUAUGAUGGAGAGCAAAAGAUGAGUAAUGAAACCGCAAUUUACCUGAAAUAAGUUGGUAGCCAAGAUAAACAGGUAUAGUGACCCCAACUUCCACAAAAGUGAGUGUAUAUCAUUGCCCAAACAGCUGAGCUUUUGAAAAACGACUUCCAUGGAAUCUCCUGUUGUAAUAACCAGGAGAAAAAAGUGAAGCAUUGACUUAAACCAAACGAAAAGGUUUUGAGUUUUCAAAACCAUUUGCUUAUAGUUUUAGGACAGUCAUUGAUUAAGGUUAUGCAGUUCUCUUGUUAUAGUUUGUUUUUCUCCAACUAAAUAUUGACCUCGGAAACAAUAGGAUUGACAGAGAGACUUAUUGCUAAAUUCAACAUUAGAUAUUAGACUAACCUUCAAUGAGUUUCCCAGUUCUUCCCGUGUAGUAUUUUCGGGUUUAUGCGAAGUAGUGGUCUCAUCACCUAUCAAACGAAAAGCAAUCCUGAUUGUAAAUAAUGUUCAAGUCCAUGAUCCAAACCAUUAACUGAGUGAAGUCUUAAUUAUAAUACUCUGACAAUAUAAGUCAUAAAAAACUAAGUAAAUGAAUGUGUAAUACAUCCAACUAUGUGACAUCUACGUUCCUUGAUUAUAUCCAUAUUCAAAACAAGAAAGAAAGAUAUGACUUCGAUGACAAAUAGUCAAAGUUAAAUAAACUUUGGAUAAGGAAAAGGAAGGAGAGAGCACCUCUAUGUGAAACUUCUUCUUCACCAAGAAAUUGAAAUCCGAUGAACCUUCAACAUAUAGGGGGUAAAAACUCAGAAUACAGGAAUACUAAACUAACAUGUCAGCAUCUUAUUUGAUGUAGACAAAAUAGAGAAGAUUUAUCCAAAACAUCAGACAACGAUGUUGUGCAAGUGUUUACUUUAGCCAGUAGUCGAUGAGACUUACCAGCCAAUACCAAGGAGCCCAAACAGGUAAAAGACAGAUUCCCAAUUAAAGGUUUGGAUAAUGGGAGGAGCCAAGAGAAGCCUGCAGACAGAAAGGUAAUCAUGUUAGGUCUGUAUUAGUCUCAAAACUGAGCAUUUUUCUUUGUCACUGACUCACUGUCAACCAAUCUAACCUUGGUUAGAAUUUUAACCAAAGAAAAGAAUGAACAAAUAAAACCACAUAUUUGUAACUUUCAUAGUUAUAAUAAUCACAUCAAGAUAGGAACAUACCCCAAAACACUUCCCAAACUCAAUCCUCCAAAAACAAAGCCUACGGCCCUUGAGCGCUCCCCAACAGGUAUCGUCCUGUACUCAGAAGUUGAAUGCCACAAUUAGGAUAUGAAAAAACAUAAAGGCUGCAUAAGCAGUUAAACGACAUCAUCUAUGUUCAAGUAUGAGCACUCAACGCUCCAGAUUGGGUACAUGCCUGGCAAUAAGGUCAGUUGCAGCGGACGGGGAAACACCUUCUCCUAUUCCCACCUGGAGUUACAAAUCUCUGUGUUAAAGACAAAGACAUAAUGUAAGGCUAACUAAAGCAGGGUGUGCGGCAGAGAGAAGGCUUAAACUUAACAAAAGAGUCAUUUACAUGGGAUUCUUUAUCUUUUUAACAAACUAAGGAAUAUGUAACAAGACAUGAUUGCAUGAAUCAGCAUAAAACAACAUAGACAUAUGGACCUUACCAAAAUUCGAGAAAAGAUCAACCCGGGCAUAAACCCAGCAAGUAGUGGAACAAGAGCUGUAGCGAAAGACCAUGUAAACACACCAAUCUCCAGAACUUUUCUGCAUUAGAGAAAAUGAAAGACAUUUGAAUACAAGGGAGGAUAAAGCAAGACCAGCCCUGAGGAAGAGUUUAGAAACAAAAAAAAAGAAGACAAACCUGCCGCCAAAAAUCUUGGAAAGCCAACCACCAGGCAACUGGCUCAAGGCAUAACCCCAAAAGAAAGAUGACUGGACCAAGCCCGCCACAGAUGAGCUCCAUCCAAACUGGUGUGACAUUGGUAUUAUAGCUAUACUCAAGUUCACCUGCCAUUCUCACCACACAACAUCUACUUUAGUCACAUGAACCUGAUCCUUAAUAUCUUAUGCAAACUUACCUAAAACCAUAAAAAUGAAAACUUUAUUCAAAAUUGAAGCCUAAUAAGAACACAAUAUCUACUUAGUCAAAUAAGCAGAUGCUAAAUUAAACUCAAAUUCACAUGAACACAAUCCUCAAUAUCUUAUGCAAAGCAUAAAAAUGAAAACUUUGUUCAAAAUUGAAAUGUCUAAGAACACAACAUCUACUUAGUCAAUGAAUGCUAAAUUAAACUCAAAUUCACAUGAACAUAAUCCUCAUAUCUUAAGCAAACUACGUAAACCAUUUAAAAAUGAAAACUUUAUUCAAAUUAUUAUAAGCCAAGAAGACACCUUGUCCAUGUUGCAGAUGACAAAGGCGAGGGAAGUGGCGCCGAUGAGCUUAUAUCUCUCUGGUAUAUUCUUCCAUGGAGGCCAGUUCUGUUCUACACCCGUUUCUGUACUCAGAGCUUUGGAAUCAGAGGCAGGGUUAGGAAGGUCUUCUUUGAUAGGGCUCUUGGGAAGCUUCUUGCUCUCUCUGACACGUUCUGUGCCACUGGCGGAGCACUUGACCCUUGAUUUGAGGUGAGGAAAGGAGGGAGGGGUGAUGGUGUAGAGGGAGAGGGAGAGGAAAGGAUGGUUGUGUGUUUGGAGAGGAGUGGAGAAGAGACGAUUGUUUGGUCUCAAGGAAAGUCUCGCCAUUGUUGAUGGAUGGUGUCAGAGAGAGAGAGAGGAGGAAGAAGCGAAUAAAAGUGAAAUUGAGAAAUGAAGAAGAGGGAGAGAGGAGGACACGGUGGAGCAGUAGAAAAGCUUGUGUGGCUCACCCUGGAGAGUCUCCAAUUGUGGGUCCCGCUUCGGUAUCAAAAUCUUGCCUUUGCGUGCGUCACUCUACUUUGAAUAAUAGAAUAGAACAACAAAGUUAAGAUCUUUAUUUAGUCUUCUGGUCUUCUUAUUACAUAACCUCUCACUACUACCUGAAGAUCAAUGAAACUUUACAGUUCUGGCUUGUAGUCCCAAUUGGAUUCAGGUUAAAGUCCACACCUUUCAGUUUCACCAUCUUGUUCAUUGACUCUGGGUGAAUAUUUGACAAUUGAUUUCUUCAGAGAUACUUUAAAUUGAAUACACAGUGAAGCAACAAGCAGUGGAUUAAAAGAAGUUUUGUAAGACCAUGUCUAGAUCGUUCGAAUUGGAAGAUACUGUAUUUCUAGAGAUGCAUGGAGAGAAUGCUAGGUUGGGUACAAGGUUUGGCGUUCGGAUUCGGAUCGAAUAAUUUGGGUUUUGGUUUUAAUUUGUAUUACAUCUUAAGUCAAAUUCUAGUAAAUUUGUAAAUACGAGAUAUGAUCUAUAACACAUCAGUUUGGUUUUAAAUUGUAUCAUAUCCUAAAAACCCAUAAAUUAAUCAUAUAUUAUUUAAAUUUGGAUUAUCCAAAGUAAAAUAAAAAAUAAAACAUAUGGAAAUAAAAUUAAAUAAAAUAAAGAUUAAUCCAACACACAUCAAACUUUAAAACAACAACAAAGUGUUAAAUCCAGUAUGAAAAUAAACAUCAUUUGUAAACAAUAUGCAUUAUCUUAUUGAUAGAAUAGAUUUGUUAUUUAACAAGCAAAUUAAGAAAUAUUUUUUAUAAGUAAUUGAGUAUUUAUUUAAGUUUUAAUACUUAUUUUUAUAUAUCAUAUCAAAAUAAAUAUUAAAUUGAGUAUUUGUAUAUGUUUCAAGAAUUUAUAUUCACUAUUAAUUUCAGAUUUUUUGGGUUAUACGUUGGGGUUCGGAAGUGUUUUGUAACAUCUACAAAAUCUAUUCAUAUAUUUUUACAUUUCGGAUCGGAUAACAGAUCAAAUUCCAUGUCCUAGGCCGGAUAAGGUUACUGGGGCAUCAUGAUCAGUUUUGGGCACAACCGGAUGAAACCUUGAAAAUAACUAUUACACAUAAGUCUCGUAAUCUGCAAAUUGUCUAAAGAAAAAUUGAUAUUUUUCAUAAAUUGUUUAUGGCAUGUUAAAUCUCAAGACCCUACCACAACCUGAUGGCUCUGCUUUCACUCUUCUCUUACACGACAGAGAUGUCGAGAGGUUCAGUUCCUGAAAGAUAGAGAGUGGUAUAAAGCUCCAAUAGCCCAUGAUACAAGUCCGAUCAAUGUAGGAGAUCUGAUGGAGGUAAUAAAUCAUGUAUACAUGCUUAUAAAUUUGAAAUAUUUAUUGGUUGGAUUUACAGGAGUUCUGUCCACAGAAUGGUGACGAACAGAGAACAGGCGGUGAACAUCAACAUGUGCCAACAUUUUGUGUUCCGAGUCCAGACAAAGAGAUUCAGCAUGUAGAGGGGCUGGUGUCUGAGACACGACCAAGAUCGUAUACUUUCCUUACUUCACAAACUAAAACAGAAUUAUACCGUUUUUUUCGUUACUUGAUUUGUAAUAUACAGUAGUACUUUUUAUUUUCUUACUUGAAUAAAAAUACUAGCUUAAUUCCAGCUUGGAUAUUCGAAUCUUUCAAAUCGCACAUUCCAAAAAAAGACAAUGAUUCGACGGUUAUAAGAUGUCACCAUUCAACAACCACUCCUCUGUCUUUAUUCCAGCUUUCUCUCCUACACAUCAAUCAAUAGUUCUCUCUUUCUCUCUGUCUCUCUCCUCGGAAAACUCCCCUUCUCAGGUGCUGAACCGCCGUGAGAAGGAGACAACUCACAAGAAAGUUUCCAUUUUGUUUCUCCUAAAGAGCUCAGAGACUUAUCUCGUAAAUGACGACGACAACGGUUAUGUCCAUAGCAGAGAAAGUGCUGGAACGAAUCUACGGAAGCUCCAAGUCUACCCUUUCCGUAGCAGACGGUGAAAAGGCUCAGCGUCAUACCCAUCACCACGUUCACAAGCAUUCCUACGACGACAGCGAGGAUGAUAUUUGUUACAGCGACGAGGAUGAAUCCGCAAUGGAGCUCGUCCAGCUCGGUGCGGAGAGGACCAAGAACAUCUUGAUCCUCAUGAGUGACACUGGAGGUGGUCACCGUGCCUCUGCUGAAGCCAUUCGUGAUGCUUUCAAGAUCCAAUAUGGAGACAAAUACAAGGUAAAGAAAAAGUCUCUUUACUGGCUUUUGAUUUGAGACUUCAAUGGUUUUCAAAAAGCCGGUCUUGAGUAUAGCCAGAUGAAACAUUGGUCCGCAGCCUCCAAAAUUUAAGUAACUAAUAUGUAUAGAUCAUUAUGCCUCGAACUGAUUAAGAAAAAUAUAUUUAUUGAUCAUCAUGGCUGCCGGCCCAGAGAUUUUGGAGGCUGUCGACGGUUCAACAAGUAUUUCAAUAAUUUAGUGUCCUAUUUUUUAAAAAAUUCAAAUUUGAAAGUUUAUUUAUAUAUAAAAUUUUCAAAAUUUUUGGAGACAGACGAAUGUUUCAUCCGGCUUGGCCAGGAUCGGCCCUAUAAUAAUCAUUUAGUCUGGUCUCUAUUUAAAAAACAUUCUUUUCGACCCCAAAAAAUAUAAGUGACUAAUAUGUAUAGAUCAUUAGGCUAUUUACUUGAUUUAGACAAAUAUAUGUAUUACUCCAUAGUCCAUAACUGUUUCAUGCUCUCUAAAUCUUAGGACCAGCCCUGUUUGCAUAUACAAAUUGAUAUAUCGUUUUGGUGGGGUUUUUUGACAGAUCAUUGUGAAGGAUGUGUGGAAGGAAUACACAGGGUGGCCACUGAACGACAUGGAGAGUUCGUAUAAGUUCAUGGUGAAGCAUGUUCAGCUAUGGAAAGUUGCAUUCCACACCACAUCUCCCAAAUGGGUCCACUCUUGCUAUCUAGCAGCCAUUGCAGCUUAUUACGCCAAGGAAGUUGAGGCGGGUUUGAUGGAGUACAAGCCAGAGAUUAUCAUCAGUGUUCAUCCUCUGAUGCAACACAUUCCCUUGUGGGUUCUCAAAUUCAAAAAGCCGGUCUUGAGUAUAGCCAGAUGAAACAUUUGUCUCACCCCUCAAAAUUUAAGUAACUAAUAUGUUUAGAUCAUUAUGCCUCUAACUGAUUAAGAAAAAUAUAUUUAUUGAUCAUCAUGGCCGCCGGCCCAGAGAUUUUGGAGGCUUUCGAGGGUUCAAGAAGUAUUUCAAUAAUUUAGUGGCCUAAUUUUUUUAAAAUACAAAUUUGAAAGUUUAUUUAUAUAUUAAAUUUUCAAAAAAUUUAGAGGCAGAUGAAUGUUUCAUCCGGCUUGGCUCAGAACCGGCCCUAUAAUGAUCAUUUAGUCUGGUCUCUAUAUAAAAAAACAUUCUUUUCGACCCCAAAAAUAUAAGUGACUAAUAUGUAUAGAUCAUUAGGCCAUUAACUUGAUUUAGACAAAUAUAUGUAUUAAUCAUUUACUCCAUAGUCCAUAACUGUUUCAUGCCUCUAAAUCUUAGGACCAGCCAUGUUUGCAUAUACAAAUUAAUAUAUCAUUUUUUGGUGGGGUUUUGACAGAUCAUUGUGAAGGAUGUGUGGAAGGAAUACACAGGCUGGCCACUGAACGAUAUGGAGAGUUCGUAUAAGUUCAUGGUGAAGCAUGUUCAGCUAUGGAAAGUUGCAUUCCACACCACAUCUCCCAAAUGGGUCCACUCUUGCUAUCUAGCAGCCAUUGCAGCUUAUUACGCCAAGGAAGUAGAAGCUGGUUUGAUGGAGUACAAGCCAGAGAUUAUCAUCAGUGUUCAUCCUCUGAUGCAACACAUUCCCUUGUGGGUUCUCAAAUGGCAGGAGCUACAAAAGAGAGUCCUCUUUGUCACUGUCAUUACUGAUCUCAACACUUGUCAUCCUACAUGGUAUAUAUAAUAAAUAGGCUGGUUUAUUAUAGUCUCUGAGAGAUGAUAACUGCAAAAUAAAUUGAUCUUUUAUCUCUACUAUGGUUUAGGUUUCAUCCAGGGGUGAACCGGUGCUAUUGCCCGUCUCAAGAAGUGGCGAAAAGGGCGUUGUUUGAUGGGCUUGAUGAGUCUCAAGUCCGUGUGUUUGGUUUGCCUGUGAGACCAUCUUUUGCAAGAGCGGUGAUCUAAGAAAGGAGCUUGAGAUGGAUCAAGAUCUUCGAGCGGUUCUACUGAUGGGAGGAGGGGAAGGUAUGGGUCCUGUCAAAGAAACCGCAAAGGCUCUUGAGGAGUCUUUGUAUGACAAAGAGAAUAAGAAGCCCAUUGGACAAAUGGUUGUUAUAUGUGGACGUAACAAGAAACUAGCAUCUGCGUUAGAAGCCACUGAAUGGAAGAUUCCUGUUAAGGUACAUGUGUAAACAUAUUAUUAGUCUCAUAAGUUUCAACACUCAAGCUUGGAUAUGAUUGACAUUAUAGGUUAGAGGAUUCGAGACUCAAAUGGAGAAAUGGAUGGGAGCUUGUGACUGCAUCAUCACAAAAGUAAGAGGCAGAGAACAUUAAUCUCAGUUUCACCAUAAUGUUCAUGAGCUCAGUAUAACUGAGUAAGAAUAUUACAUGCAGGCUGGACCGGGAACAAUAGCUGAAUCGCUUAUCCGAUCACUUCCUAUCAUCCUCAACGACUACAUUCCUGGACAGGUUGGUUGAGAUUUAUUAUAUAUUAAUGAUAAUCAAUUUUUAUUAUAAUGUAUAGUUUCUAAUAUCAGUUACACUUGAAACCAAACAGGAGAAAGGGAAUGUGCCGUAUGUAGUGGAGAAUGGUGCAGGAGUGUUCACAAGAAGUCCCAAAGAGACAGCAAGAAUUGUUGGCGAAUGGUUCAGUACAAAAACAGAUGAGCUGGAACAAACUUCAGACAAUGCAGGUAAGCUAGCUCAGCCUGAGGCAGUCUUCGACAUUGUCAAAGACAUUGAUGAGCUCUCGGAGCAACGAGGUCCUCUUGCUAAUGUCGCGUACACUCUUACCUCUUCCUUUGCCAGUUUAGUUUGAUGUCUCAUGUCUUAUGUUAACAUGUCGCCCUUUUUAGUGCCUUGUUUGAUCUCUUUUUUUUUUUACUUUCAUUUUUGUAAUAAUAAUAAUUUGUUUGUUGAUUAAGUGGAAUGUAAUAUUUUAUAACAAAGUGAAGUAAAAGAUUCAUGAUAAUAAAAUGAAUCACACUCUGAGAUCAUUUGUCAAUGUUUGUUUACAUAUCACUGUGACUAGUCGAUCCCAAAAAUAAUUAAUUUUAAAUAGCUAAAAAAUUUAGCCGUAUGAAAUAACGAUCUGUAACGUUGAGCAAACUACUCAUCUCUCGACUUCCUCUCAGCCGCCGAGAAAAAAAAAAAAGUUUAACAGAUCUAUCUCCGGUCCGGUCCGGAGGGUCCCCUCUUCCUCUUUUACUUUCUUUUCUCUUUGCCUUCUCGUUUUUUCCCAAACCCUAAGGCGAGAUACUUGAUGUUCUGGCUUGUCGAGGUGACUCCGGAGACUUGUGUGGUCAAGGGGCCAUCUCACGGCGUUCUUGGAGGAGCAGUGAGUCGUAGGAAGGCGGAAUCGAGGCAGGUCGGCUUUUAGGGUUGAGAGGAGUCAUCGAAUCGAUUUUCUGUUUUAGAUCUCAGACGCUCCUCUCACGCCAACGGCGAGGGCUUUGUUAGAUCUGAUUUUCCCUUUUGAGAUCUACGACAAAGCCAUCUCGACGACGGCACGUGACAACGGCGAGACGUCUCCUCAAUGCCGGAUCUACCUGUCCCUGCGAUGGUGAGACGGCUGGAGGAGUGACUCAACAGACGAUGGAAAGAAGCUGUCUUUCUUCGAUGUUCGGAGUUGACGCCCGGUGAGAAUCAUGUCGAUGGAGCUAGUAAACAAAGGUGAAGCAUUUACGGAUGAAGCGACAGAGAUCCUCAUCUCAGUGUCAAUGACAGUGGUGCGGUCAUGCCGGUGGUAUGGUCUUCGCUUUUCUUGAAGUUGCGAUCUAGUAUACCCAGUCCCGAUGUACUAGUCAAGGUUCAUCUUUUAGCUUGGUCAUGGUGUUUAAGCUUCAGACUAUGAAGCACUAUAGUGUCUGUCGGAAGGAUUGAAAGUUUGGUCGGAAUGCACAUAUGGUGUGGUGAGAGUUGGUUUAGCAGAUUAUUCGUAGAGUGGUGGAUGCAGUGAUUGCUUAUCGAUUCGGUUCUUAGACAGUGUGGAUCUGUCUGUCCGACUGGUAAGGCCUCGUUUUAGUUGGGAAGGUGACUGGUCUUCUAUCUCGGAGGAAGUGGACGCGAAGCACGGCGUCACAUCCGUAUCCAAAGGUUGUAUGGAUCGAGUAACGAUUCUCCCUGUUGGGUUAUGAAGUCGCAGUGUUUUGGUUCUUGGACGGUAUCGUUUGGCGUGCAUGUGCAGCAGCGAUAAGUCGUGGUGCAGGAGGUGGAGUUAUCGUGUGGCGGGCUAUGAGCAGCAGCGGCAAUUCCCGAUCAGUAGCCUUUAUAAAGGUUUUAAAUCUGCUAAAUUAAAUUUCCGAUCACUAUCGUGUGUUUUAGCUUUUAUCCAGUAUUAGUGCCGAGUAUGGCCUUUUUGUUUUGGUACUUUAAGUUCUCCUUGCGUGGGUUUUAGCUGCCGCCUUCAUGUGGGCUUUCGUGUACGGAGUUUGUCUAUUCAUCUCCUAGUUUAUGUUUUAAGUCGCCCUGGUAUGGGUUCUAGCAGCCGCUUUCAUAUGGACUUUUGUAUGUUUCUAUGGAAUGAAAUGAAGUACUUUUCCGGGGGAAAAAAAAAAAAAAUAACGAUCUGUAAUUAGUUGUUGCGAUCGAUCGAACAAUAGCCGCUAAAAAUUUUAGCCGUAUGAAAUAACGAUCUGUAAUUAGUUGUUGCGAUCGAUCGAACAAUAGCAAAAUGAACAACACACUAUGACUGUUCACAAAUCGAACGUAGUCGUAACGACAUGCAAACGAACAAUGUCCAAUAAUAAAAAAUAUUUUUAGCUCACAUAAUUAAGAUAGAGGAUUUUGAUCACGUCAACGUGCAUGCUAGAAGCAGUCUCUUCCAGUCUUCACUUAACGUAACGUUCUACGCUUCCAGUAGGAUAAGCUUCUGCUUAUGUUCGUUGAGUUAGAUGGUUCAAGUUUCCAAUCGUGCAAUGAUGUUAAAAUUUGCACAUGCUGCAAAUGUAUUUUCAUCUCACUAUUUCAUUUUAUUUAGUUUGUACUAACUUUUCUUCUUAGAGCUGGUUUGUACUAUUUUCGGUUAGUUGACAUUUGAUUAGAUACAAGUUAUUAUAAAUCUUUCAGAAUAUAUUAGUAAAUUAAUUUUACUAAGACUAGUUUUCAGAUUUUUUGAAAGAGAGAAUAUAAUAGGUAAACUUCACUAAUUACAUACAAUUUUAUCAUUCAUUAUAGCCCCAAAUAUUAUCUUAAGUUCAGGUCAGUGGUCACCAUGAUUUCUUCAUGUAACUUUUCACCCAAUUGCCAUCCAAAAUAUAAUAACAGUUAACUUUUCACAUAAAAUACCAUUAAUAUAGACAUUUCGACCGAAAUACGAAUACACUAGCUUAAGACCCGCACAAUUGUUAUAUAUAAAACUAAUUUUUAUCUAUUAUUAUUUAUUUGUAUUCAUUUACCUAUUAUAUAUAUAAUUAAAUUAGAUUAAAUACAUAAAUCAAAAUAAUAAAUCUUGUUUAUUUAUGAUAUUUUUUUGGUAAAUAAAUCAAAACAAUUAUUUAUUUAUUUUAUAUGGUAUAUAGCUAAAUUUUAUAUUUUGUGUUUAUUAUUGAUAAACACAAAAUUUCUAAUAUGUAAUUUUUUAAUGCAAAUUUCAAAAUUAAAAUAUUAAGGUUUCAAUACUUUUUUGAUACACAUUUAGAAAUUAUCAUAUUUAAGUAUUUUCUAUGUUAUAUAGUUUAAUUUUAAGCUAUAUUAAUAUAUGUAAUAUGAAUGUCUAGUAAAUGAGACUUCAUAUUCAUACGAUUUAUGAUCAUUUGUAUCUUGUUAUUACAAAAAAAAAUUAAACCAUUGAUCACAAAAUUACAGUAUGAGACAUUUAACGUUUUUAAUAAUUUAUAGUCGUUUUUAAAUUCAAAAUAUAACAUAAGAAAACAUUUUAAUUUUUUAUUAUAUGGUUAAUGUGGUUGUUUAAUAUCUUUUAAUAAUAUAAAAUUAAAUAAAAAAGAACUAAGAUACAAAAUUAUUAUCAAAUAUUUAUUAUUCAUAAUCAUUAAUUGACAUAUAUACGUUAAUCAUAUUAGGUAAUUCCGUAGUUUUUAUUUAAGAAAAGUGCGAGAAUAUUCCUUUGUGCACUAUUUAUCAAUUUAAUAGUUAGUUUAAUAAAAAGUAUAAUAUAAGUUAAGAUGGAUCACCAUAUUUCUCUAACAAUUCUGAAUUUCAUUCUCAUGGUGACACGUUGCUACAAAAAAAUGUGGUAAUGUUUCUCAAUUAAUAUAUAAGAGAUAUAUUUCCACUGAAAUGCAUUUAUAUAUGAUUAUUAUUUUAACACUGGUUAAUUAUGCUAUUACAAACUAUAAGAAACGUUAUAUAGAUGAUACUAAAGCCAACAAUUCUACCCGAGGAUUCUUGUCUGACUGCAUCACUCUAAGCCGCUCUAUGAGAUCCAUUACUGACGGCACUCCUUGUGUCAUGCCGAAGAUCUCUUGUAAGUUUUUUUCUCAAAUAUUCUGCAUAAUUCGCAUUCUGCAUUUUUAUAUAAUUAAUUAAAAUUUUAUUAUUAUUUAUUAAAAUAUUAAAUAAGAGACUGAUUUAAUAAAAAAAAUAAAAUAAGUUAAUAGGUUUAGCAUUUCUAGACUAAAAACAAAAUUCAGGAAACAAAAUUUUCCAAGAAUAAUAUUUUGGUGCACAAUCUUAAUAUUCCUUUUAUUUCUAAAUAUUUAGGGGACUAAUGAUUAGCAUAUAAAAAGUUUCCUUUGAAAAUAACAAUAUACUAACUCAUUUUCUUGCUUUCUAUAAAUUUCCUGAUUAUCUAUAAUUGAUUGCUAAAGAUUAUAUUCCUCAUAUACAUAUUACAGUAUUACAGCUGGUGUGUCAGUGAAAUAAAAAAAAAAUACUUGUAUUAGGUGCAAAAGAAAAAUAUUUUUUCUUGUUUAUGGCACUUUUCUUUCCAAAUAAAUAAAUAUACAUGAUGUGAGUUGGCACUUUGUGCACUAUUUAUCAAUUUAAUAGUUAGUUUAAUAAAAAGUAUAAUAUAAGUUAAGAUGGAUCACCAUAUUUCUCUAACAAUUCUGAAUUUCAUUCUCAUGGUGACACGUUGCUACAAAAAAAUGUGGUAAUGUUUCUCAAUUAAUAUAUAAGAGAUAUAUUUCCACUGAAAUGCAUUUAUAUAUGAUUAUUAUUUUAACACUGGUUAAUUAUGCUAUUACAAACUAUAAGAAACGUUAUAUAGAUGAUACUAAAGCCAACAAUUCUACCCGAGGAUUCUUGUCUGACUGCAUCACUCUAAGCCGCUCUAUGAGAUCCAUUACUGACGGCACUCCUUGUGUCAUGCCGAAGAUCUCUUGUAAGUUUUUUUCUCAAAUAUUCUGCAUAAUUCGCAUUCUGCAUUUUUAUAUAAUUAAUUAAAAUUUUAUUAUUAUUUAUUAAAAUAUUAAAUAAGAGACUGAUUUAAUAAAAAAAAUAAAAUAAGUUAAUAGGUUUAGCAUUUCUAGACUAAAAACAAAAUUCAGGAAACAAAAUUUUCCAAGAAUAAUAUUUUGGUGCACAAUCUUAAUAUUCCUUUUAUUUCUAAAUAUUUAGGGGACUAAUGAUUAGCAUAUAAAAAGUUUCCUUUGAAAAUAACAAUAUACUAACUCAUUUUCUUGCUUUCUAUAAAUUUCCUGAUUAUCUAUAAUUGAUUGCUAAAGAUUAUAUUCCUCAUAUACAUAUUACAGUAUUACAGCUGGUGUGUCAGUGAAAUAAAAAAAAAAUACUUGUAUUAGGUGCAAAAGAAAAAUAUUUUUUCUUGUUUAUGGCACUUUUCUUUCCAAAUAAAUAAAUAUACAUGAUGUGAGUUGGCAGAUUUAUUUAUUUUUGUAUUGUGUAAAAUUCCACUGUUGGAAAUAUUCAUAUUAUUUCUCUGGUCAUGAUAUGCUGUGUAAAUAUGUUGAAAAAAAUAAUAUAUAUAUGUGUAAGUGUGGCGACAAUGCAUUAAAAAUAAUUGGUACUACUGCGGACGACUCGAAAAAAAACUCAAGAGUUAUGUGUGCUUGAACAGAUAUUUCGUCUCGUUCGGAUAUUCUGAAUCCAUUGUUUCAUCGGCUUUUAAGUUAACUUAGCUUUCGGAUUAAUUCUUCAAAACACACUCUCUUUAGAGCCAUGAAUUUAAUGGGAUUACCUAGUAGGUAUGUUCUACAAUUUAUAUAUGUAUCCUUCUUUUAUAUUCUAUUUGAUUUUGUAUUAGUGAAAACUUGUUUGCAAGUGGUUUGUGUGUCAAGUGUAAUUACAGUUUGUAAAGUUUCUUGUUAGGACAAAUACAAAGCCUGAUACUCCUCUACUGUUGUGUUUACCUUCAAACUAGUGUGAACAAACCCAUUCCAUUUGAUUAGAAAUAUAUGGUUAUAAAUCCAUAAACUAGAUUAUUGUUAAUACUUCCAAACCGUUGAUUGAGAUUGUAGCAUAACCUCCAACAUGGCUUUCUAGGUUCUAACAUGAUGAAUCCUAUUUGCUGUCUUACAGUGCAAAUCAGGGGACAACAUUUCGACCAAAGAAGAGGAAGACACCUCCAUCUGGGAGCAAGGUCAGUGCAUUGGUAAUUAGAUAUCAUGUGGUUUAAGUUAUGGCUAUGUUAUUAUUACGUACAUUUUUUUAAUAUUCUGAACAAAAUGUAGGGUUCUCAGUUUGAAGAGCCCAUCACAACCACUCUUGGAAGUGGUAACCUCAGAGAGGCCGUGAAACUACCUCCUGGUGAAGACAUUAACGAGUGGUUGGCCAUUAACAGUUAAGACAGUCAUUAUAACCACUAAUAUCAAUUAGUGUCUCUAUCCCUACUUGAUUUAUAUCUUCUUAAGUUUUCUUUGUAUGUUUGAUUUGUCUUUCAGCCGUAGAUUUCUACAACCACGUGAACCUUUUGUACCCUACUCUCCAAGAGUUCUGCACCCCCGACACUUGCCCAAUCAUGAAUGCUGGAUUGUAACUCACUCCUUCGUUCUUGACUCUCAUUCAUCAGUCCAUGUCUGAGUUAAAUCAUAAAAUUUGGUCAUUUUCUUCUUCUUUUCUUCUUGGGUGCAGGUAUGAGUAUAGAUGGGCAGAUGGAGUUGCUGUAAAGGAGCCAAUAAGGGUUUCUGCUCCUGAAUACGUUGAGUAUCUCAUGAACUGGAUUGGAACUCAGAUCGAUAACGAAGCCAUCUUUCCGCAAAAACCUGGUAGACAUGAAGCUAGUGUUAAAUGUCUUUCACUAUGUUGUUUCUAGUUUUUAACACUCGGUUUAUUUUUUUCAUUCUUCUUCAGGAGUGCCAUUCCCACCAAACUUUAAGGAUUUCGUGAAGCAGAUUUUGAAGAGGAUGUUUCGUGUUUAUGCACACAUCUAUCACUGUCACUUCAAGAAGGUUGUUGGUCUCAAGGAAGAAGCUCAUCUCAACACUUGCUUCAAGCAUUUUGUUUUCUUCACAUCUGUAAGUUGAUGAAUAUCUCUGCAACAUGUUCAUUUUUUUUGGGAAUGUUCUAAUAGAUGUAUUAACUAUAAUGGGCCGUUUCUUUUUUUGCGACAUGCAGGAGUACCAGUUGAUCGAUGAAGCAAACUUGGCUCCUCUUAAAGACCUCGUGGAUAAGAUUCUGAACCCGUAGAAAAUGUUGAGAUAUCUCUAUCCAAAAGAAGUUGAUGGUUUCAUGUUUUACAAAAUGAGUUGAUGUAACAUUAAACUAUCUUGUGAUGUUUUUCAAACUCUCUUUCUUUUUUUUGUCAAGUUCAAAUUCUCAAUCAAUAAAUCUAUCAACAUAUAUAUGAAAAUGUUGAAAACAAAGUCUAGUUCCUUCAUUACAAUUUCCACCAAGGAUAUAAAGACACCCAAACAAACAAACAAAUACAUGAUUGACUAAAACAAAGAUACUCUCUUCCCCUCUGUGGACAAGACAGCAUCAACACACACCUAAGCCUUUCUAUGACAAAACAAAUAACCCCUGUGAGUUGCCAUAACUACAGGGAUGCAAAGAAUGAAAUAAACUCGGCCUUUCCACAAAUACAAAGGCCAGAGACUGAUCCCCAAAUCAAGAAGAAUAAUGUAAAGAGAAAAAAGGAAAAUGAUAUACACAAAAUGCCCCAUAGAAAUGGCUCACACGAUGUAUUUAUGUAUAUGCAGCAAAAACAAUAAUCGUAUUUGGUUGGACCUGAUGACACUUAUGACACACUGCCUUCUUUACGUGUGAGUAAGAACCCGAAACCUGAGUUUUCACGGAUCAGUUGAGGAGGCUCAAUGUCAUUCACAUCCACUUGUUGCAUUGACUUCGAUAUAUCUUCCACCGUGAAUGGAAUGCUGUGUUUUGAUUGAUUUAUUGUGUUAGUUUAGAAAUGGGAAGGUCUACACAAACUAAUUUCAGCUUUACCUCGAGUCAUCGUCCAAAAGGAAAGAGCUGCUUACGGCAUUGUUCGAGUCCUCUGUCAUCAUAACCCUCAUGUUUGCAAUAACCUACGGUUUUUGAAAAGAACACAAUUCUAACAAUAUCUAGACAAAAGAAAGCUUAGUUAAUUUACAAGUGAAACAUACAUCUGAAGAAACGCUAUGAGUGCCAUAUUUGUCAUCCCAAUACAUUGUGCUGAUUCUGUAUAGCUGCUGUAUACUUAGCACCUGAACAAGAACAGCAACUUCAAUGUUAAGCUCAUGAAUGAAAAAAAAAGUAAAAUGGAUUUCACAGAAUAGAAGAGAGAGUAAUACCGGACAGAGGUCUCUUGUUACUUCGUCCAAGGUCUUUUUCGGCUUUUGAUGAAUGACCUGAACAGAGUAAGCAAAGUUCACAUAAGCAAACAAUGUAAUGAAGCAUAAAAGGAGUGACAAAUCAUCGAUUAAAAUCAUACCAGGAAACCAACUGCCUGCCUGAUAUGCCUCAACUCAUCCCAAGCAGAGCCAGCAUACUGUAAUAAGAUGAAACAAUUAAAUCAAAACUCAAAAGGUAUGAAAUGUUUUAAGAAACAUUAAGAGACUAUGGCUUAUUACUUCAUCAGUAGCCUCUGCACACCACUGCUCUAAUUCAGCCAAGCCUGCUUUAACGUACUCGCCGUUGCUGAAUGAGCAACACUCACGACGUAGAAGAAGACUGCACAAUUGCAUUACAAAGAAAUCUUUUUUUGUUAAUCAAGAAUAAUCUGGUUUGAGAAGAAACGAAAGGAGAGAUGCCAAGUGAAACAUGCCUGUUGAAGAGCUGAACAUUGAUGAAUGAGAAUAUUUGUGUGAAUACUUUGCGGACUACGAAAGGUGGAGCCUGUAUCAUGUAAACACAGAAUAUAAACAACAUUCCCCAAAAAAAUAUAUUAAGUUUUUUUCUUUUGUUAAUUUCUUGUGGAAGUCAAGACUCACAUUGUUCGCUUUCAUUAGAUUCAAGUAACUGUUUAGGCUUUUCCUAAUACUUUGCCAAUGAGCAAUCAGAGCUUGUUGAGCAACAGCGUUUGCUUGUGCUCUCCCUUUCACCAAACUUGCCCUUGAUGUCCUUGGCGCCUGUAUCAUGUAAACAUGCACUUACACUUAAAUCAAUUAUCUGAUCGAAGUUAAGCUAAAAAGGAUCAGCAUAUCAACGUUCCACAACAAAAACUACAUUAUUUACCUGUAUACACAACCCAAGAAGAGGAGAGAUCUCUUUCUUGAGAUUAUCUCUGAUCAUUCCAUAUAUCUUCUCGAGGUAUGCAGUGAGCUGCUGCUUGAAAAGUAGUGCCGGGUACUUUGCUUCAACUUGCCUCAAGUCGUCAAGCUUAGUGAGCCCUUGUCUAUUCAGAAAAGAGAGUCCAGCACUUUGAGGAGAUGUCCUUAUUCCCUAUUUAGAAUGUUAACAAGGCACACAAUAUAAUUUAAGGCUGCACACCAAGGCAGUUAAAAGAAAAUUCGAAAAAACAAUUAGAUCUUCAGCUUCUUACUUGUGACAUCCUUCCAAAUAGAGAUGCUGAUGUUGUUCUUCGUCUCUGUGGUGUUAAACUAGCUGCUCCAGUUGCUUUGAGUGUGCGUUGCAGAAGCAGUAAUAGCGUGGCUGAGUUAGAUAACCAAUACGCCAAAACCUCGUUAUUAUCUGGUACCUGUAAUGGAAGACAACAUUUUCCAUACUUAUAUUCAGAAAAAUAAUCAACAUUAUGGAGUGCAGAACAUGUUGAAAUAGUGUCAUAAAAUGCUUCCGAGGAAAGACGCAAAAAAAAAAAAAGAAUCAACUUACUUCAAUGGCUGAAGCUAUAGUUUGAAUGAUACGGUCAAAGACGCUAGUUCUUUCGACUUCAAAUGAUCUCCAGUGAAGAAGACAUUUGUAUAUGACACAUGCAGCUACAGGCUUGCCCCCAGCAUAUCCAAGGUUUUGUGAGAUACACUUGACUAGUAGUUCUUGGUUUUCCUGAAUAAGGCAACCAUUAUAAGUUUAUAACAAAUAUAUAUUAAGAGAAAAUCAGAGUGCAAUACUGCAUAAAAAUGCAGUCUCACCGUUACAAUUAGCACAAGAAUAUCAUUGUAUGUGAUACAUGCAGAGUAGUUACCUGCUGCUUUUCAUUCAGAUAUUUCUGUGGUUUCUCCUCAGACUCUGGUUCUCGUACAGCAAGGGCCAUGUCCUGUGACAUUCAUAGACCAUAAGCAAUUAAAGAAACAAGAAAGUAUGAUGGUGUCCUUUUGAAUGGAGAAAAUAGUUCUUUCGACUUCAAAUGAUCUCCAGUGAAGAAGACAUUUGUAUAUGACACAUGCAGCUACAGGCUUGCCCCCAGCAUAUCCAAGGUUUUGUGAGAUACACUUGACUAGUAGUUCUUGGUUUUCCUGAAUAAGGCAACCAUUAUAAGUUUAUAACAUAUAUAUAUUAAGAGAAAAUCAGAGUGCAAUACUGCAUAAAAAUGCAGUCUCACCGUUACAAUUAGCACAAGAAUAUCAUUGUAUGUGAUACAUGCAGAGUAGUUACCUGCUGCUUUUCAUUCAGAUAUUUCUGUGGUUUCUCCUCAGACUCUGGUUCUCGUACAGCAAGGGCCAUGUCCUGUGACAUUCAUAGACCAUAAGCAAUUAAAGAAACAAGAAAGUAUGAUGGUGUCCUUUUGAAUGGAGAAAAUAAAAUGAUCUCCUCUUACCGGCGUAGUCUUUGUUUCUCCAUUAAGAUGGCUUCCAUUUUCUGGCGUUCUCUGGAGAAGAAAAUAUUACAUGAACAAAUAGGCCUUCUUGUAUUAAUAUGUGAAAAGAAAAAAUAAUUCAUAUGUUGUUGGCACCGGUAAAAGCAUGGUUCUUGAUCGCGUGGGCAUAGUUCUGCUGGUUGGAGAUAUAGCAAGUGCCUGUUGACGAAGAACUUGAAUCUCUGACUCUGAAUUGGAAAGCUUCUCUUCUAGUCUGAAAGCAAGAAAUAAACUCAAUAUGUAUUAGUCCAGAACAGAAGAAACACAGUUAUAACUUAUUCGCAUCAACACUUCUAAAGAAAAAACGAAAUUGUCAAAUGCAUAUUGACCAGUUCAACAAAUUUAAGCAAUUAGAAUAUGUAUUCUCUUUGUUUAUCCUUCAUCAAUAUAUUUUUACCAACCUUUGAACCGAUUCAUGCAGCUGAUCUGCUUUUCUAGUAGCAUUUUCAAGCUCUGUGGCCAGCUCUGAGUUUCUAGCCUCUGCCUCUGAGAAAGCUUUUCUCAAGUUUUCUGCAGCUUGUCGUUCAGACUCAAGCGAAGCCUGUAACAAAAAAAAAUAUAAGUUAAACUUCAGCAAUGAACAUAUGAAGGAUGAUAUAAUAAGCUUAAGACACAUACCUUUAGAGCCUCCACCUCUGAUGUUAAUGAAUUGAUUUUUUCAGUAUCUUCAACCAAAACCGGAGUCUCCUUAAUGACUGGAGGUGCUUCUUCAAUAGCUUUCUUUGCAGCCUCUCGUUCCCUAAUCACAGCAGCGUUUGCUUCUUCAACUUGCAACCGCAUUGCUUGCAGAGCCUCUUGUUGUUUUGCAGAUUCUUGGGCUUUUGCCUCUUCCAGCUCACUCUAUAUAACCAUGGAAUUAUCAAUAACAGUGUGUAACUGAAGGAUGAUAUCAUGCCAGUGUAUAGAAAUAAACUUACUCUCUGUCGCUUUUCUAGCUGUAAACGCCACGUUAACUCUUCAACACGCUUCUCAAGUUUGUCCUUGGCCUCUCUAAGGGCUCCUGUGUCUCGUGCAGCCUAGUUCAAUUAAUUUUAAAGAUAAGAAUCUGACCACUUUAAGAAAAUGUGAAAACUUAUGAUAUGUUUCAAUACAAAAAGAAAAUAGAGAGUGAACCAUUUUGAGUGUCCUUAAUUCUUUUCGUGCAACCCUGCUCCUCCAGCCACAUUGUGUCGAAAGGGCAGCUUUCUGGAGUUUCUUGUAGUAAGAAUGUGCCAGGUGACUACGAAGACGAGCCUAAAAUUAAAAAAAGGAGAAACCGUCAGAUUGAUGAUGCAAGAGGAAUAACCCAAAGAGGUUUCUUAUUAGUGACCUGAAUAAUAGUAGCAGCCUUCAUUUGCUUUCUGUAUCUGAACUCAUUGCGAGCAACCAUUCCCCUUAGUGCUGUUUGAACUGCUAUUGCUGAAUGUCUAAUCUUUAAAUAAGAUUCUCUGGCAAUAUGUCGUCUGAAACUCUUCUGAAUAUUCACCGCUGCUGCUUGGCGUCGCAUUUCUUCAUAAAGGUUGCAUGCCAAUUUGCCUUACAUUCAAUAAAAAAAGUUUCAGAAACCACUAAUCCUCCAAAAAUACUACAAUCCGCAAAAAAAGAGCACAUGGACACUAACUAUAUUUCACAUUUGCUACGGAAUACAAAAAAUAAACGGACCUCAAUAAGCCACUAAUGUCAUGGCUACACAGAGAGGCAAGAAAACUAGGGAAGAAGAUACCUCGGACAUUGGACUGCAAUACGAUAGCAGCUCCACGUAGAGCACGGAACUCUUUACGAGCGAUAAAAGUACGGCUUUGCCUUUGAAUUCUCCUAGCGGCAUUUCCUAGAACCUCGGCUCUUCUUGCAUCCAACUCAGCCAUCUGUCCAGCUCUAAGGAAUACUUUUGUUUUCCCUAACUGCAAGUGACAGCAUGUUGGAUAAAUUAGUCAAAGCUCCUAAACCACCAUAAAGGAACCAUUACAUAAUGCAAUUACAAACUACUUACCUCAUAACCCUUCAAGCCUAUCUUAUCCAGAAGCAUUCUGCAUGCAACUUUGUCGUCAUAACUGCACAGAAAGUGAAACCAUUAUAUACAUCGGGAAGAUGCAUGGCAUGUCUCAACGAAAAAGACUGCAAGAAACAAAAUUAUAUCAGAUGCAAAACUUACUUUCCCUCCAGAACAUCCGGAGCAAGAACACCAAAACGAUUGAGAAAGUCAUAAAAUGUCCGCUUUGUUGGAUAACCAGCACAACUGAUUCUAAUAGCUUCCAGGACACCCUUAACAAAAUUAAGACAAAUUUUUGUUCAGUAACCAAAAACGUAAAAGUUGAAGUACCUCAGUUGUUGAUACUCACGAACAGAAAAGUAUAUUAUGGAAGGUUCUGACUGUACUUACACCACAACGUAAUUGUUGAAUUACGUUCAGAUUCUCGAAAAUGGCAGGCUUUAGUACAUUAUUUGGCUUCACACAUCUGAUGUAGUGAGGUUCAGUUGAAUUGAGUGUCUCCAUCAACGACUGAAGUUGAAGCUGGAAUUUGAGAUAGAGUAUUUCUUGUUAAAAACAAUUUAAAAAUCUCUAAUACUUUGAGCUAGAGUCGCCACUACAUAAUGUCUGUAAUCAACACUCAUCUCCAACAUGGGUUAAACAAGUACUGAUGUCUGUAUCUACUUUACACAAACCAUUCAUGAUAUCAAUCACCAUACCUUAAAGCGUGACCCGAUGGAAGAAAAUUUGGUUUUGCUUGAUGUUUCUUCUGCUAGGCGAGGAAAUAAACCAGCUACGAAAGUAUCACUGGAAGCGAUCAAAAGAUCCUGAUGUUCAGCCACCACGUAAUCUUUGUUCUUGUCAAGGAACAAGUCAGCCUGAUAAGUUACCUGUUUCAGUCGGAAAGAGAGUGUGUUAAUGGAAUAAUAUCUAAACCUUGUCAUACGCAUGUGAAUGAUGUAUUACCUCUCCAGCAUAGUGUGAUAUCGCAAAGCUGGUCCGAGAUAGCUUUGGUUUCGUAAACCGCUUACUGUUUUUGAAAGUUUGAUACAGCUUCUGAGCAAAUGUUUCGUGUGUCGACUUCGGAAACAUACUGCAAAAGAAUGGAACAUCCAUUAUACACUUGAUCUCAGUCAAAUUAAGCAAAGCAGCGCCUUCAUCAGAUUCCUCUAAAGAGUAUAGCAACGUACCAUGCUUCAUCUAGAAGUGCAAUGACUCCUCCAGGUUUCUGUACGAGCAAGUCACAUACACACACAUAAGUAUCAAGAAGAAUGAAUGAGUUGUAAAUUAUCACCAAAAAAAAAUCGUUAAGGACAUAAUUAAAUCCAAGACCUUCUCAAUGAGUUCCAACACAUCCUUGUUAUCAACAAACUCUAUGUAACUCCAGUUGAUCUCUUCUUUGGUAUAAUCUUCUUGUUCCAUUUUGAAGACGUGCUGUGAGAAAAGUAAUUAGUGCUACGUCAAAACUAAGAAAGAGAAAAAGAUAUUCGGAAAGCUAAUGGGUUAAGAACAGACCUGGUUGAAAUGUUGUUGCAGCUUUUCAUUGGUAAAAUUGAUGCAAAAUUGCUCAAAGCUGGAAAAAAAAUUACAUGAAACUCAAUACAGCCUUUUAACGUCUUCACAGAAGAAGAAAUAAUUCUGCAAGCUGCAAAAUGUACCUGUUGGUCUUGAAGCUUUCGAACCCAUAGAUAUCAAGAACACCAAUUAUUGUCUUAGAGUUUGGAUCUUGCCCGAUAGAAUUGUUAAUUUUAUCAACAAGCCUGAAAAACAGAAUACGGAUUUUAAGAAGUUAGAAAUUUUAAGUUGUCAACUUUAAAUUACAUAUACUGACACAACAAGUGAAACAUGGGAAACAAUAAUUAAUCACAUCCAUCAAAUUUAAAGAGAGGAUGUUUCUUUGCAUACCAAUCAAACAAGCGUGAAUAUAUAGUUUUUGCCAGUGCAUCCCUGCUACCAGUGGCUGAAUCAGGAUCAAGAGUUUUUGUAAUAAUCUCUUCUGGUGUAACCAUUGCACGUUUAAUCAAUGCAUCUUCCAAACUCUUUGCAUCACACCUUUUUUAAAGAAGUGAGUCCAGGAUCAAAAAUGUAUAAAAGAAACAAAAUAGAAAUGAAGAUUAAACAUGUAAGCAACACAUACCUAAGAAGCUCGGCAGUCGCAUCCAGAUGAAACCUUGAUUUUUCAUCCUUCAAAACUGAGGAGUCAAUCUCUUUUCCUUUUGCAAAUUCGACAUUACCUAGAUGCAGGAUUGCAGCAACAACUCUAAAGAUUGCAUCCUGAUAGCAAUUAUCAUCAGCAAAAUGCUCUACCAGAGAAACAAUCCCUUGUUGGAAAAGGAGAAAGUGAUAAGACUGACCUGUUCCUCUUCACUGAUGCCAACAAUAUCCAUAGCUCGCCGGGUAGCAAGAUACUCCUCGGUAUCAUCCACUCCAUCCAGUUUAUAGCACUUCGAUUGGUUUAGGUAGUGGAACGACUUUGGAUCUCCCAACUUGAACUUUUCUCUUUCCUACAGAAUGGGAAAAGAGAUGAAAUCCUCCAAUUACUUAUUCGUGAGGUACAAAGCAGAACGCUGCACAGAAAGGUUUAGUGCUAACAUUGUGCAGCACCGUACCUCAGGUGGAGCAGCACAUAAAAGGUAAAAGCAGUGGUAAUUUCUUUCUGGAUCUGAUAUUUGACACACACGAGACCUUUCCAACAAAUAUGUUCGGACAGCUGCUCCCGAUAUUCUCCCACUUCUGUCGAACUGAAGCUCCACAAACUUUCCAAAUCGACUGCAUUUUGAUUUAAAGACAAAGUUGCAAUGAGGUUUUCUAAAAAGAAGUUUUUCUGAAAGGUCAUUAGAAUAACUCUAUAACACAAUAAUCUAUGAUGUAGUAAAGAAGAAUAAUCCUUCACUUCAUCGAUGAAGAAAGUCUGAAAAGUAAUAUGGUUUAUAUGAUUCAACCUAUUACAUGUGUGCCAUCUGUGCAACUGAUCACUGAGGUUUCUUAGUUACAAUACAAAUUUCUAACAAGUAGUGACUGAAGAAGCUUUGCGCAACGAACAUGUUUGAAUAUGCAACUCAUGAAAGCAUUUAAAGAGAAGAUCCAUAGGAAAAACCUCUCAGUGAACAUAAGCAUACCUGGAGUUGUUGUUCCGGAGAGUUUUGGCGUUUCCAAAUGCUUCAAGAACUGGAUUUGACUGUACACCACCAACAAAACCAAAAUAGUUAAUCAAGCUAGCAUUACAAGCCUCUCUGUAGGUAUAUCAACACAGUAGCUAACAUAGAUUUGUGACGCCUCACCUCCAGCACUUGCUGUUCCACUGUCCUUCCUUCAACCCCGGAUCGACCACCAAGGUAAGCAAGGUAGCGCAUAAGCAUCUUCGUGGUCUCAGUUUUACCAGCUCCACUUUCCCCACUAACAAGAAUUGAGUUGCUCUUGCCCUCAUUGAUCAUCGCCCUACCCAGAGAAGAACACACAAACAUGAGAAAAUGUACAAAUAAAGAGAUAAAGAGAAUUUCGCUUUGUGAAAUCAUUGGUUGAUCCUAAUUACCUGUAAGCAACUUCUGCGAUUGCAAACACAUGGGGGCUUAAUUCUCCAAAGCCUGCUCCUUUAUACUGCUCCAUCAUAUGAGUAUCAUAAAGAUGUGGUAACCUUUGAAACGGAUUUACAGCGAUCAAGAUGUUUCCGGUAUAAGUCUGCAAACGCAAUUUAGUGGGAAUACUUAGGACUGUGUAGUGCUUAGUAAUUAAAUAUAAUGUGAUUACAUUAGUACUCACUCGGCGCAGAAAAAUGCAUAACAACUUACAUAGAUUUCAUUAAGCUCAUAUCUCAUGGCCAAGUUAUUCAAAACACCAGGUUCAUGUAGAUAUGAGAGCUUUGUCAUGUCAUCAACACCCCCAGGGAGCGCCUCCAUAUCCUUUGGAAAUACGUUUGCGAUUUUGGCCACAACCUGAAAUUAAAUUUCAUUUGUUGAUUAAUAUAUUAUCUAGUUUCAGUGAUUGUAAUAUAAUUAUGGAACAACGGUGUCAAAACAUGGAAGGAGGGAUAGACAACUUACGGUCUUCCCGUUAGUGGUCUGUGCAUGAACUUCUUCGCCAUUGAUUUUGACAACUUCUCCAUCAAUCCAUGCCAACCCUGGAUCUUCAAUCCAAACAUGAGAGCCAACUAUUAUAUUGACUGGGGCAACCUACAGGAUAUAAAGAUUGGAAGUGUGAGGUACAGAGAUAUUAAUAACUUCACAGAAGCUGCUGCUUUAAUCUGAAUUGAGGGAAACUAAAUUUGAAUCAUUAUAAACUUGAAAGAAAGCUUUCAAGAUUUGUGUAAUGUUAAUAAUACAAUGAUCCCUUUGAAUAAGUAUUAGUGGUAUAAAACAAGCAGAAAUGUUAUCAAGCAUAGAACAACUAACAAAAGAAACAUAUAAAUAUGUAAACACAAGAGCCAUUGAAGAAAGCAUUCUAUGAGAUUUGAACAAAUUUAGAUUAAUGAACCGACAAAGUUAUCAGAUUUCAUACAAGAACAGCAAAGUGGUACUAGAUCUUAUAGUUUAAGUCCACCGUCCAAAGAACAGGAAGUGGAAUGUGAAACUGGAUGAGCUUCUAACGAAUCUUAUCGAGCAAUUAACUUUUAUAAUCUGCAAAACUAUAUAUCUUAAACCUUGAAAAAAAAGAAGUGUAUUUAUUCGAAAAAAAAAUGGUCGAACCUAGAGAAGUUUCCUGAUCAUAUAAAAUAUAACAUAGAAGAGCUUACAUGACCACAUAGUACAUGCUAUUCUAGCCUAGGCAGCUUGAGAGCAACUAAUAAUAGAAGUUUAAAAACGAUGAUAACUUUAUGAAAGCCACUGAGUAUAGAGGUUAUAGGAAAUGAUAGACAGUAAACGCAAAUCUCAUACAAAAGAUCUCUUUUUGUUGCUCUGAUAAUUGUAGAAAAUCAAUCAGUUUUCCUUCUAUUGAAUCAGAGAAACCAUUCAACAAAACAGAAUAAGCAAUACCAUGGCUACUCUUCCUGCAAUAAAGAUCCUAUCUUUGCCAGUAGCUCAUCCAAUAGAGACGCCGAGUUUGCAGAGCGCCUGACUCAGAUCGGUGAUGAGAUUAUAAGGGUUGGUGGUCUCUAAAAUAGUUUAAUUGGGAGCCGCCACGAGGAGAUCGGAUUUGACUAGAAGAGUCGUCCGUCACAGAGAUAACCAAAUCUUUCUAAAGUUGAAUCGGAAUGUUUUCUCCCUCUCUCUCUCUCUCUAGAAAGCUGAUGACUUGGGCUUCUAGCAGGCAGACGUCUAUGCCUUUUUCUCUCUCUCCUUCGAGCAAGCAAAGCAAUGUUGUUUUUCUCUCUCUCUCUCUCUCUAAAACACUUUUUUGAAAAACAAAUAAUAAUGUUUAUUUUGGGUGCCUGUGAGAAUGGAGAUUGGUCAAGUGGGGUCCAGUGAGACUCAGGGACGGUGCUGGAUCGAGUUGGACAUUCGUGGUCAGCCACCCCAAGAAUAAUUAUGUUGUAAGAAGCAGACAACGAGGUAAGAGAGUUUACUUACUUACUGUUCGGGUAAUAAUAAAAAGUUUUCACAUUUGUUUUAAAAAAAAUAAAAUAUUAGUUGCGGUCGUUUUGGUUUCCGGUUUGAUUCGGUCCGGUUUAGUUAUCACUUGCUUACAAGUUUACACAUCUAACAGUGUCGGCUUGGUUACUGCGAGUCUGAGUGAGACGAAGAAGAAGGAGAAAGGGAACGAUGACAAUGAUGAGAUCUUUCUCGAUGGCAAUGUUGCUCGUCGCACUAGUUUCAUCCAUCUCUAUUGUUUCUUCGGCUUCUUCAUCCCCUGAAGCCGAGUUUGUUAAGAAGACCAUCUCUUCCCACAAGAUCGUUAUCUUCUCCAAAUCCUACUGCCCGUACGUACCUCUCUCUCUCCCUCGAUCUAUAUCUGUUCAUUUCUAGUCGCUGAUCGUCUGCUUCUCAUAAAAAGAUUGGAUCUUUAUUGCCUUUGGUUUGCUUUUUUUUCUUUUUAGAUCUUAUCAGAAUGAAACUUGACUGAAGGGAAAAGUCUCCACUUUGCAUAUAUGAAUCUGUGUCUAACUUGAAUCCAAUGAAAGUCCUCAGCUUUGUCUCGUUACAGAUAGUUUAAACUAGCUAGAUAUAUGUGGGAAUCAAGUUUGGAUUUUUGAGAGUUCAGUUAUAUGUGCUGUGUAUUUGUUCUAUUGCUUUACUAUUUGGCCUUUUUAGAGUUAUGCAGUAAUAUCACUCAUCACUUACCUGUGUAUAUGACUAUGAAUCCUUGUUGGUGUCAACAGGUAUUGCAGGAGAGCCAAAUCUGUGUUCAGUGAGCUGGAUCAGGUUCCUCAUGUUGUGGAGCUUGAUGAAAGAGGUGCGUUUUAACAUUUUAAAAAAUGUAUAUAAGAUUCAUUUGUUGACUAACGAUUGAGAGAUUUGAGGAACUGAUUAGUUGUUUGUAUAAAAAUUGGGUAAUUGCAGAAGAUGGGUGGAACGUUCAGAGUGCACUUGGAGAGAUUGUUGGAAGGCGAACAGUACCACAGGUUUUCAUUAACGGAAAGCACAUUGGAGGAUCAGACGGUAAAUACUCAGCUUCUUCUCCUUCAAGAAAAUAUCUUUGCUUGUGACAACAUUAUGCUGAUUGAUUGAUUUGUUUAUUGUUUUGUGGCUGUCAGAUACUGUAGAAGCGCAUGAGAGCGGCGAACUGGCCAAGCUUCUCGGUGUUUCCACCAAAGCUGAACUCUAGGUUCAAUGUAGUUGUAGUUGGAGUGAUACUCAGGUGUAAGCACUUCAAUUUUCCAGUUUCAUGAUAACUUGUAAUGUGUUCUGAAGGUUAUAAACGUCUUGUCAUGGUUUUGUGAAACUGUAUUAAAGACUACAAGUUGGAUUGAGAUUCAAAUCUGGUCAUGCUUCAAGCUAACUGUCUGAACAACAAACAGAUACAAAGUGCAUUAUACAAUUUAGGGGGAAUGGAUAGAUAGAUAGAUAGAUGGCUAAAGCUAAUGGAAUAAAACAUUUAGGGACGAGCUCUUUUGUUGCUGCAAGAAGGGCACUUGUAUUGCUUGAUAUGCUCAGCUCUAGCUGGAGUGAUCUUCACACACUUCCCAUGAAACCAUUUCUCGCACAUGUCGCAGCAUAUCCAGAAAUCAGAAGCAUAGUUAUCUCCACAAGCUCCACAUAGGGUCUCACCGUGUUCCUCUUCAUCCUCUUCCUCUUCCUCUACUCCUUCCUCCUCGUCGUUGACCUCUAUUGUCCUUGAGCUUUUGACAUCUAAAUCUCUCUGCAUUUCCAGAACAAAGAAAACAUUUACUACACCAACAUAGCAAAUGUAAACUUCAAAAAAAAAGAAGCUAAUCAACAACUAUCAUUUGAUCAGAAACUUAAGAUAACUUGGCCAUUUCAGUACAUACUGGUCUAUUGAUUACAGCUCAAGACACCACUCAGUCUUUGUUACCUCAAACCUAGAGACUUCUCAUACCACAAGAUGCACAAAGUAACGUUUAGGGAAUCACAAAAUAUUGUGUUCAGUCUGUGUUUCAGAAGCUCAGUGGCAAACUGUGUUAAUGUUCUAACCCUUAUUAAAGGAGAGCAUGAAGCUUACCACUUUUGAAUUAGACUUGGAUCUGUUGCCAUUUUUAUUAACUGAAGAAGGCUGUUCCUCUGUUUGUUUCUUCGCACUUCCGGUUACAACUUCAAAUACAGUAGGAACCUCAUUUAUCAUGUUGAACAAGCGCUUCCUGAAUCAGUUCAUGUAUCAUGAUAAUGAUUGAAGAGAAUUACAUACCAAUCAAGAAGUAAAGGAUUGAUAUAUAUACCUGUCAGCUUUAUCGAAGCCAAAUCUUGAACCGAAGUAUAAGGAGACAGAAAGCAACCAGGCAUCACUGUGUACAGCAACAAGGGAAAUCCACUCUUUUUCCUGCAUUCCAUCUCUGGCAAAGUUGAUGCCGAGCGCAGGCUCAGGGAGCUCAGGAGGCACUUCUUCAGCUGGUAAGUUGACUUCCCACACUUCAUUUGGGAAUCCAUACAAGCAAAGGUUGUCCUUCUCUACAAAUACAGACUUUCAGUUUCUCAAACUAGCAAAUAAAGUUACAAAAUGAAAUACUCAUACAGUCAUACUAGUAAAGACUCAGCAGAUUGUGCUAGAAAGCAACUGUGAUCAAAUGUAUCAAACAAAAAGUAAGAAGGAGAGCAAGAUAAAUGUAGUUUUAAGUGUCAGUAUUGAUUUGGUUAAAGACUAUGUUACCAUUAUCUUAGCAGAACACAGAAGCAAAGAUGUAUACAUAUAUAUAUAUAUACAUUUAAGGUAGAGAAAGAGAAAAACUCUAACCAGGAUUGCAUUGCUGGAAAAACUCUUUCACAUCUGCAAAAUAAAAAUAGAAAAGUUAAAACAAAUCAGAAAUAUUAUUAUAUUCAUGAAUUAGAGAAUUCAGCAAUCUCCACCAACACAACACAAUCUAUAACACUAGAGAACAGUUAUUUAAUAAAAAAAAACUGAAUCAGACAAAUAAAACGAUGGUCGUGAGGAAAAUUCAAAACAUAAGAGAAAAAAUGAAAACUUUAAAAAGAAGGAGAAGAGAAGAGAAGAAAGAGACCGGUGGUGAGAGCACGGAGGAUGCCAGCACGACGGCCCUUGAAAUCUCGGAAGACUUCUUCUACAGUUCGAGGGUUGUAGCGGGCACCUCCUCCUCCUUCCAUCUUCCUCACGAUGAAAGAGCGGCACUCAAGUAAAGAAAAAAAAAAGAAGCAAAAGUCUUUUCUUUUUGGUUUCAAGUGAGUGAUGAUGAUAAAAGCAGCAAACUUUGGUUUUAGAGAAAAGAGAAAAAAAUAAUUGAAUGAAGACGAAAAGUUGAUCCACUGCUCCUUGGAAAGUGACAGACAGGCCCGAUCUAGUCACACGUCAACACUUCACUCUAUUUCAAAUAGUACUGUGUAUGAUUUACAACUUGAAAACAAAAACAAAAAAAAAAUCAAAAACCAUAUGCCUACAUUUCUAUGUCGACACUUCAGCUGUAGAGGAUAAAUUGAUAAACUGAAAACAUUUAUGUGAAUAGAACUUAAGGAAGAACUAAAUCUAGUGUUAAGGAAAACAAUAAUCAGAUGCCUACCUAUGUUAUUAAUUAAUGAAAAAAAGACUAGGAUAACACCAAACCAAGUUUUUGUUUUCAAAGUCGCACUCAAGGUUCAAAGUCACAAAAAUAAGUUUCAUUAAAGAGGUAAAUAUACACUUAUACCCUUUGAAGUUUAUGUCUCAAAAAUAGCAGUAGAAAGAGAAAGUCACAAAAAUGACAUUCAUUAAAGGGUAAAAUAUCCAUAAUAUCCUUGGUUUAAAAUUAAAUAAACAAACAAAAAUAAAUAAAAAUAAAAAUAAAAAAAUAUAAAAAAAGAAUUUUUUUUAUAGUUUCAAAUUAUGUGUUUUCAGAUUCGAAAUUUUUAUAAUUUUUUUUUUUUGAAAUUUUUUUUUUCGAAAUUUUUUUUUAUUUUUUUUCAAAUUUUCUUUUUAUAAUUUAAAAAUACUUUUUGAAACUGUUUUUAAAAUUUUUAUCUUUUAUUUUAGUAUUUAUUUUUUAUAAAAUUUUAAACCCUAAUUCCAAAAACCCACCCCUUAACUCUAAACCCUAAGGUUUGGAUUAAUUAACCCAAGGGGUAUAAGUGUAUAUUUACUGAAACCUAUUUUUGUGACUUUGAGCCUUGAGUGCUACUUUGGGAACAAAAAUUUGGUUUGGUGUUAUCCUAGUCUUUUUCUCUUAUAAGUAUUUAGGCGGAUUAUAAGAUAACACUGAUUAACACUAUAAGCACUCAAUAUAGUAGAGACUACAGUCAAACAUAUUCCUCUUUUUAUAUUCCUAAUCCCAUUUAACUCUACAACUUGGAUUAAAACUUAUUCCACGAAUAACAUUACUAGUAGAUAUGUUAACUAGAAUUUACACAAGUACUCAAUACUUUUAAAUUCAAAUGAGCGCCCAUAAUUUGCAUGCAAACUUAACUGAAGAUUGGAAUACAUUAUAUGAUCACAUAAGAAACAAAAGAUAGUUUCACAAUCAUUUUCAAUCAUAUAACCAUUUUCGAAAUCAUCUACAAAGCAAUAAUCAUUUAGAGGAAAUGGUUAGUAUCAUAAGAGAAGGACCAACAGUUGGAAAAAUAACCAAAAACGACAUGAAAACUGAAACAACUCAGAACGUACAAUAUCUCCCAGUGGCGGUUUCUGCUUACAAAGUCCCUCUCCAGCAUCUCACUCUCAAAUGCAAUAUACGCAUAUAUGUCUGCUUUAUAAAGAUACUAACGUUUCAGGUUUCAGUAGGAUCCAACUGAGUCCAAACUAGUUACCUUCCUGCCAGACCACAGAGACCAACGUCAAGCCUAGAGUAAUACUUUCCAAAAAAAAAACAUCAAAACAUAUCCGGAAGCAUCUAUAAAACAAGCAUCGUUUAUGACCCUCUGAGAGCGAACUUUACCUUUAUCGUUGUUUCUUUUCCUCAGGCGCAUGCUUUACAAGGAACUGCAUGACCGUCCUCCAGUAAACGUCACCCCCAGUCAGCCAUGUAUCCAUAUGCAUCCCACUCGGAAAUUCCACAAAUGUGCACUGAGAGUUACGGGCAGCCGCUUUAGCGUAUAGCAUUUUCAUGUGAAACGGAGGGACCAUCUCGUCUUGCAGUCCAGAGAGGAAAAGUACUGGUUGUUUCACCUGUUAUUGUUACAAAUCAGCUUAUCAGUGAGCUGAUAAAGAAUAAACUCAUGACACAUGUUCUAGUAUCAAAAUAUAUAUAUAUUUUUUUCUCCUGAGAAGGAUACUGCCCAUCUAACCAUGAGAAGAGAAUUAUAGUAAUAUGGAAUAUAUUAAGUGAUCUGCUUAUUUAGUUAUUUCAAUGGAAUAUGCAAACUGUAAGCGAGAAAAAUACAUUUAAAAGAAAGCUACAAGAGUCUACAUUGCUUCUUACCUCACCAAUAGCGUCAAUAGUGUUCCAUGGGGAGCGUACAACAAAAUUAAGAAGUUUUAGGCUUUUAGUACCGCUUCCUCCAAUAAACCACUUCAAGAAGGGCAGCAAAACACCAGCCAUGUCAAGAAUGGAUGUGAAAGUGUUUUCCAGAAUCAAUGCAGAUACCUAUAUAAGGACAGUGCAGAGAUGGUAAACAUACAGCUAAUUGACGUGUAGAGAUAUAAACUUAGUACUGAAGGCAAAAAAAUAAGAAAUAUAUAUAUAUACUUGGGCCACUAAUAUUCUCUCCUCCUAAGUAGUAUAUUCUCUCUAGUCAUCUGUUAAUAUGAAUAUUUAGUAACGGUACCUUUUCAGGAUUGUUUUUAGUAAGCACAGCUCCAACAGCUCCUCCAAGGGACCUUCCAAACACAACUAUUCUAGAUGUAUCAAUGUCUGUCCUUUGAGAAAGGUGAUCCAAGGCAGCCUAAAAAAAAUAAAAGGCCAUAAAAUAGGUAAUGAUGAAUACAUGGAGACAUGCACACAAGAGUUUAAUGGAAAUGUAGACAGAUUGAGAGUGCAAAACAAACCUGAGCAUCUUUAAUGAUUCCAUGCUGUGACGGAUAACCAUCACUUUCCCCAUAGCUAGUUGAACAGAAAAAAUCAAUCAGUUAUAAUGCAAGAAAGGUAAACAAGCAGCAAUAGAUCCAUGUAACUAAAAAUAAACGAUUAAGAUAAGAGAUAGACUAGAAAGCAGGUAACUGAAACUGACCCGCGAUAUGAAAGCAUGAAUACGUUGCAGUUCAAUUUUUGUAUCAUGAUGCGAACCAUCUCUAGACGAUGAGCGAUAUCUAGGGUUCAAAAGGUCAAGGUCUUCACAAGGCAAAGAACCCCACCCAACAGAAACUCCUUAGAGCAUAUACAUAAAUAUAAAACAGAACUCUUUAAUUUACAAAUCACCAAGAAAUGGCUCAGGAAAGGAUACUUCCAGCAUUCUCCUGGAAAAAUAGAAUGGUUGGACCUGCAAGGAAUACAUCAACUAUUAGAAACCAGCUGAACGAAUCGAGCUAAGCUACUACAAACCAAGAGAAGUGAAAUAAGGGAAACUAGUAAAGUUUGAAUUUUAAAGUCAGAAGCUUUCCCAAUUGUAUAAAUCAAAUCUACCAACGAGAAGAUAUAUUACUGAAUCAAUGAGCAGUUGCGUGGCGAAGCUUUUAUGAAAUUCCUAAAACGGAAGAAAGUAUUUUGUUGUGACUCUAACCUAAGGUAAGCUAAGCUAAUAACAACCAAGAGAAGUGAAAUUAGGGAAACUAGUAAAGUUUGAAUUUUGAGUGUGGCUGAUGAGUUGCAAACUAGUACUAUAACAUCAUCAUUACCUCACAGGUCACAAAACUGACCAAUUGAGACCAGAACCUAGCUGAAAACAGAGAUAUCAAGACCUAACAUCCCUAAAGUCAGAAACUUUCCGAAUAUGCAUUAAUCAAAUCUAACAAAAACAAGAUAUAUACUGAAUCAAUGAGAAGUUUCGUGGAUCAGAAGUAGAAUGGUGAGGAAAAAAAGGAGAAACCUUGACAAUCAGGGAGCAUUUUGAUGAACCAGGAGUGGAGCCGCACGCCAUCGGAGGAGCGAAGCCAGACGUCCUCGUAGAUGAGAUUAAGCCUGGCGGGGGUGAUCGGGUAUGACUUGGUUAAACCGGGGAGAACCGGGACGUAGACUAGCUUCUCCUGGAAGACCACGAGGAGCGCCACGCCCGCGACGACUAUCCCUCCUAAUCCGUACAACAACACGCUCACGUACGCCAUUGUUCUCUCUCUCUCGCUCUAUCCGUCUGCUCGUAGCUGAGCAGAAGCCGAAUGUGAAUCUGAAUCCAAAACAGAAGUACUUUGCCACUUUCUAUCUGUUUCUCGCGUGUCUUGCUGCUUUUGCUUUCCUUCUUUGAGAGGAGAACGACUGGGUCGUGUAAUGGGCCGAAACAAGCCCAUCACUGAUUUUUUUUCAAUUGUCUUAUUGGGUCAUCUCCUGAUUAUGUUAUUCUCUAACAUUUGCUUGUUCAGGAGAUGUGUUAGGAAACCAAAAAUUUCAACCAUGGUCUAUAGGCCUGGGAUCUAUAAUGGAACCGAACCCGCCGUACCAAACCGAAAUUUCUGUUUGUUCGGUUUGUUGGUGAAAAGUUUGGCUCGAUUCGACAGGUUUAUAAAAAAAACUUUGGUGCUCGGUUCAGUUUGAUAAUCGCUUAGUUCAUUUUUUAAAAAAAAAUUUAGCGCGAAUUAACCAAGUUUUGAAUCAAAGUAGCCGAAAUUAUCCAAAAUAUUGAAAACUAACCAGCCGAAUUUAACUGAAUUUACCCAACUUUUUAAUCGAAACAAAAAAUUUUGGUUAGUUUCGGUAAAAAAAAAACUUAACUAUCCGAAUUCCGAACCGAACUACCAAACCGAACCAAACUCUUAUACGGUUUAAUUCAGCAAUAUUUUAGUUGAACUGAACUAUCCAAAAAUUGAACUACCCGAACCCGCCUGCCUACAUUGGUCUAUAUGUUUUUUUUCAGAACACUAUACUUGAUCAUUCUACUUUCUACACUGAAUUUUUUAGUUUCAUGUUUUGUAUAUAUCCUAAUGAACUUGGCUUUUGUUUAUACAAAAGGUAGAUUCUAUCUUACAUGAAAUAUUUGUUUGUAUCUCAAAAUUAUAAAAAUAGAGAACAAUUUGUAAUGUCAACUAGCUGUUAUCUUUAAAAUUUUGAACAAUUUGUAAUGUCAACUAGCAGUUACUAAAUAGUGCGAGUGAAAAUGCUAAGAAAAACUUUGAUUACUUAGAGCCACCAUAAAAAUCUUUCUUUCGUUUUAGGUUUCUCAAAAGGUCAGAGCCGGUUUUGCAUGUAUCGAUAAUUGAAUCCUUAAGCACACUUGAAAUACUUGACUACAAUGAACAGCCUUUGAUACAUCUGAAAGUCUAAAUCUGCAAGCAGCAAUAAUGUAAAAUCUCUCGAUUUAAGCUACAUUGACAAGUGGAAUCCCGCUCAAGUUGUCUUACUUAAUCAGUAGACCAAACAAAAUGGUUUACUUUUAGCAUUAACCGAGUGUGAUUAGAUUAGCGGAUUUACCGUAGAGAUGACGCGGGACCUUUUCUUGAUUUUUAAUUAAAAAAAUGGAACCGGUCUUCCUGGUUAAAGUGAGUAUAAAAACAUAAAAAGAGCACCAUGACCAAACACACAACACAAACCAAAGUUAGAAACUGACAGCAUCUACUGUCUCUCCGUAUCCAAAAAGAGAAGAAACAAAAUCACAUUACCAAGAAACAGCAGCUGCCGGAAAAUGCUGACUUGUAUAGCUCGUUCGAAGCGAGCCGGCGAUGAAACCUCGGGUCAACCCGACGAUCCGGAUUCCAAGCAAGCCAAAUCUCUAACAUCUCAGGUAGACUUCUCUCUCUCUCUCUCUCUCUUUGCUCAUCCUCCACCUCUUGUCAUUCUCUAUACUGAUCAAGGGUAUUUUCGUAAAUUCAUUCUCAGCUCAAAGAUAUGGCUCUGAAAGCUUCCGGUGCUUACCGACAUUGUACGCCGUGUACGGAGGGGGAAGUGCAACCGCCGAUCAAGAGCACUCCGGUGACGACAAAGUCUGAUCCCGAAUCUGAUCAACGGUUUAAAAUGCUGUACGGUAGAUCAAACAGCUCGAUAACAGCCACGGCGGCGGCGGCGGCGACGCAACAGCAACAGCCUAGAGUUUGGGGAAAAGAGAUGGAGGCGAGGCUGAAAGGGAUAUCGAGCGGCGAGGCGACUCCGAAGUCGGCGAGCGGGAGGAACCGGGUAGACCCGAUAGUGUUCGUGGAGGAGAAAGAGCCAAAGGAGUGGGUCGCUCAGGUGGAGCCAGGUGUUCUCAUUACGUUCGUGUCUCUUCUCGGCGGUGGUAAUGAUCUCAAGCGGAUACGUUUCAGGUAUGUUACUCUGAUACUCUCUGUACAUGCUUUCAAUCUACGGUAGUGAUUUUUUUGUGUUUGACUCUGUUUUUCUGAUCGUACGGUUGAAAUAUUUUCCCACGUUUGUUUUGAUCGUGAUUUGGGAGAAUGUUCGGAAGAUGCUCUGUUCUUUGGGAGAACUGAAUCUGAUUUUUUAAAAAUAAUUAUUACUAUAAAAUCAGUACAAACACACAAUCUAAAAAUCUAAAUAAAACAAUCAAAGUUUGGUUAAUUCGAUAAUCUGCGUAGAUAAAUAGAUGAAUAUAAUUUGUGGAUUUCUAUGUCUAGGCAACAUAUGUUGUGCUAAAAUACUACUAAAAACAUACGAAUUUAAUAACAAGUAGAAAACUUACCACUUCUUUCUGUUUAGUAUCUCGAAGGGGUAAUUGUGAGUGUGAAAAUAUAACUAAAAAGUGGGUAAAAAAUAGAUACUUGGGACCCAGAGUUGUAGACUGUAACGCUUCAUCACGCCUAAUGAGAAGCAGAGGCCGUAAAGGUCCAAAAAGCAAAACUUGGUGUUCCCUUUUCAGAGUGCUUCUUGGGGUCAUCCCUUCUCAUUCUGUCUUUAUUUCGCUUUUAUUUAUGUUUUCUUUCGAAAUUAGCUAUAUACUCCCUCCGUUUUUUAUUAUAAGUCGUUUUAGAGAAACUUUUUUGUUCCAAAUUAUAUGUCGUUUUCGGUUUUCUAUGUAAAAUUUAUUAAUAAUUAAUGUUGUAUGACCAAUAGUAAUAUAUCUUCUAUUUUUCUAUUGGUUAAAUUGUGGUUAGGUAAAUAAUUAAUGAUGUUUUUGUUUAGAAAAUAUAAGAAAUUAAUGGUUUUCUUAAUCUACGUGCAUAGCUGUAAAACGACUUAUAUUAAAAAACGGAGGGAGUAUAUGAUUACUCCAUUUCCUCUAUUUCUUACUUAUCUUCAAAAUCAAAAUUUUUAGUCCACAGAAAAUAUAGAAAAAGAGAUUUAUCUUAUCGGUCAUAUGAAAUCACUCUAUAUAACGUGUGAAUAAGUAUGCUAAAAACUUUAAUUCUUAAUGCGGUUGUUAGAUGGUACUAAAAAUGUUUCUUUAUUUUUGUUUAAAUCAAAGAUUUAAGAUCUUUGGUUGGUAGAUUAGAUAUUUUAUUCAUUUUCACCAAUAUUUUGGGUUUGUUUUUCGACAAUUUAUAUAUAUAGUUAUAUUUAAAUAGGACACAAACUUUUGCUUUCUUUUUUAAUUCCAGUGCCUUGUUCUCCGCGUCUCUCUCGUCUGUCCUCUAAUCAGUUAUCACAUUAUAAUUGUUGGGCGGCAUAGGAAAAAAUGCUUCGUCUUGUAAUUUCAAAGAACAUAUAUAAAUAAGUAAAAUAAAGCAAAUAGCUUUAGACUUUUGCACAGUUUCUCUCGUUCACAUCUAUGUCGCCUAUUGAAAACGACAACCUCAACGUAUUCUGUCUCUUCUUUGCUUCAACUCUUUGUCUUCUUCCCAUAUAAAACACAGAUCAAGUUCUAUCACCACCUGUCUUUCUUUUGUCUAAACUUGGUCUUCCUUUUUGUUUGUAUGAUUCACAAACAUUGUUUGAUUAGGUUGAGUCCUAUAGGUUCUAAGUGUUUUUACUGUUUGGUUUGGAUCUCGGUACAAGUAUAAGUUAAAGUUGUUGGGAAAUUAAAAAAAGAGACUUGAGAAUUUUCUCAUACCCACCUCCUUCCCCAUUAUUUUCUUUACUGUUAGCCAUAAUCAUCUUAUCUAAUUAUUAGCUUUGACCAUUGCCGUCUCUGUUUCUUUUUAUUUCUUGAUUUCUACAUAAUUUUGAUUGAUUAUUUACUGUUAGCUACCCCAUUAACAGUUGAACAAAAAAAAAAAAAGGGCUACCCAUUAACUAACAUUUUUUAUUAAAAAAAAAUAUUCAAAAGGUUGAAUUUGUAUGAACUUGCAUCUCUUGUUUUCAACUCUCUUUUUAGCCAUAGCCUAUGUGUGUAAUUAGUCAAAAGCUCUAUUGAAUCAGCUAUUGUUAGUUUUUUCAAAUCUCCCUCUAAUCCGCUUUCUUUAAUUCCCACUUUUGUAUACUUGUUCUGAUUAAAGUUAGUAAGUUACUGCUUCUCCUAAUUUUAUUUGACCAUUAAAGUUAACUUAGACUAUCAUGUGUCAUAAAAUUAUGAGAACCAAGUUGUACUAGUAGAGAAACUGAUGUGUUUAUACUCAAGAAUCUAUACCAUUGUUUUUAAAACCGGCCGGAAGCUAAACUGGAUAAUUAUUCAAGUCACGGUUUAAUAUAGUUCGACCAUAUUAAAUAUGGUUCAAAUUUUUUUUAUAAUUAUUAAUUUUUAUUAUGUAAACUUACUUAUAAUUAUAUUAAAUACAAUACAUAAUUAAAAUAUAAAUAUGAUCAAAUCUAAAACAUUGGAAAUAUUAGUUUUUCCAUUUGUUCAUCUGAUUCAUAGGCUUUUGAUAGUUUUAAGAGUUUUCAUCUAGUUCAAUGACUUCAAAACUCAACCCGAUUACGUGACCGGCCGAACCUGGUCCAACCAUCGAAGAGGUUGUGUUUUAAAACACUGUUCCAUACCAAAAUCAACAACUACCAGAAUUUGUUUACCUAAUCUAUGAUUAUCAUUAUCAAAACCACCUCUUCACUUAGGAGUCUAUCUAAUGUUUCAUCUCCUGAUCUUUCACCACGACAAUAGACAAUUUGUAAAUUUGUAAGAUUAAGACAACAUGUUUCCAAAAUGUACUUUAUUUUUCUCACUUCUGUUUUGUUUUGUUCUUGACCAGCCGAGACAUGUUCAACAAGUUACAAGCGCAAAGAUGGUGGGCAGAUAACUAUGACAAAGUGAUGGAACUUUAUAAUGUUCAAAAACUAAGCCGCCAAGCCUUUCCCCUUCCCACGCCUCCUAGAUCCCAAGACGAGGUUAGCUUUUUCACUGAAUCGUAUCUCUCAACAAACCUGUGAUUGUCCACUAACUCAUCUUGAAAUGCUUGUCAGAAGGAGUAUCAUCCAGAGGAUACUCCUACAACACCGCCUUUAAACAAAGAACGGUUGCCUCGCAACAUCCAUCGUCCAGCUGGAUUGGCUGGUUGCUCAUCUUCGGAUUCCCUCGACCACAGUUCAACCCAAAGCCGGCAGUUUAACGACUCUGGAAUACUAAACUCAACUCCUAAACUCUCAAGCCUAAGCGGAGCCAAAACAGAAACAUCUUCCAUAACAAGCUGCUCGUCCAGAGACGCAGACCGGUCAGAAGAGAUGUCUGUAAGCAAUGCGAGUGAUGUUGAUCAGAACGAGUGGGUGGAGCAAGAUGAGCCUGGCGUUUAUAUCACCAUUAAAGUCUUACCAUGUGGGAAAAGAGAGCUUAGAAGAGUCAGAUUCAGGUAACAUAAACAGCUUCCUUACAUUGUUUCAUUCAUUGGUCCUUAGUCAAGAAACUAAAUCACUGAAACUGUGUUUUCUAUUGCAUUGCAGCCGAGAGAUAUUUGGGGAGAUGCAUGCGAGGGUAUGGUGGGAAGAAAACAGGGCAAGGAUACAUGAACAAUACUUGUGAUCAUCUUCUGGUUUAGAUGCAUUAAACCGGUUUUGUGUUUUUUAUUUUUUUCUCAUUCUCGGUAUACUGUUUAUUCCAAGCUGAAGUAAAAAGAGAACCCUUCCGCAAGCACUCCUUGUGCCUCCUAGUCACACAUAUUUUAAAUAUCAACUGCGGAAUAUGUUUAAGGAGGUUUCAUAUUUUUUUUCCUUAACAAAAGAAAAUGCUUAAGCUUGGAAUAUAUAGUGUUGGCUGGUUUGCUCAAUAUAUGUAUCGUUGGUUCUUUUAAGAAAAUUGUACAAUGGUUUGAUACGAAUAAAUAUUUAUUACGUAUUGUACGAACAUGCUCUAUAUGAAUUUCAAAUUAAUAUCAUAAAAUAUUAAUAACUUAAUUUCCAAUAAUAUACGUAAUUUUAUUAUAGUGUUUUUUAAAAACUAUAUAAUAUAAGAUAAAUGAAACAUGACAAUUUCUUAGAAUUUUUAUUUUAGAAAUCUUUAUUAAUCUAAAUACUAUACACAAAAGUAAAUUAAUUGUAGAUUAGAGAAACCAAUGUCAAAAAUAAGUAAAACAUAUCACCCUCUCAAAAUUUAUGUUUAGAAGAAAUUUUACUUUAUUAUAUAAAAUAGCAUUAUUUUCUUUCUAUAGAAAUUAAUUUACAUAUAUUAUAACCAAAAAUAUUAAUUACAUUUUUGGAAAUACACUGCAAGUGCAACCGUUAGGAGACCAUGUACGUAAUGCUGCGAAUCUCUAUUAACUGUAGAUUGAUUUUCUAGUUCUUCUAGGGAAAACUAUCAUAUCUACACAUAUGGAAAUAGAACUUUAUAAUUAAUGAAAAGUAAAAACAUCAUAGCCAUAUAAGUAAAACAAUAUAUACCACAAGAAAAUAAACAAAUAAUUAUACAAUUUUAAUGAUACCAAGAAUAUAGAAAACUUGAUCUCAAUGUGUAUAUACGCACAAACCUAUUGAUAUGCAACAACACACAACCAUAACAAAGAAAAGAAAAGACGCAACAUUCACUAUGGAUUGUCUGAAGAAAACUCUCUUGUUCCUACUCUCAUGCACGGCGAUUCUGCUAAGUAACAACAUAGUCGCAGCUACAAACGUUGGCUUGAACUAUGGCCUUCUCGGAGACAACCUCCCGCCACCUCCCCAGGUUAUCAACCUUUACAAGUCCAUAGGCAUCACCAAAAUCCGAAUCUUCGACCCAAACGUAGAGGUUCUCAACGCCUUACGUGGCCACCAAGAUAUUGGAGUCACCGUAGGCGUCAAGGACCAAGACUUGGCUGCUCUUGCAGCCAGUGAAGAAGCUGUUAAAGGCUGGUUCGCUACCAACAUCGAGCCUUACUUAACCGACGUCAACAUCACGUUCAUUACAGUUGGUAACGAAGUCAUCCCUGGACCGCUCGGAUCUCAAGUGCUUCCCGUCGUGAAGUCCCUCACCAACCUCGUCGAGUCUAGGAGUCUUCAGAUCUCCAUAACCACCGUUGUCUCAAUGGCAAACCUCGGAGAAUCUUACCCACCUUCCUCCGGAACGUUCACGCCCCUAGCGCGUGAACAACUCACCCCGGUUCUGAAGUUUCUGUCUGAAAAAAGUGUACCAAUACUCGUCAACAUGUACCCUUACUUCCCUUACGCAUCAGACCCAGUGAACAUUCAUCUCGACUAUGCAACUUUCAACACUGAGGCCCUCGUGGUCCAAGACGGACCACUAGGAUAUUCGAACAUGUUUGAUGCUAUGUAUGACGCCUUCUUGUGGGCAAUGGAGAAGGAAGGCGUGAAAGAUUUACAGUUAGUGGUGUCCGAGACCGGGUGGCCGUCUGCAGGGAAUGGUGACCUUACCACGCCGCUUAUUGCAUCUACCUAUAACAGAAACUUUGUGAAGCAUAUAGAAAGUGGCAAAGGGACGCCAAAGAGAUCAAACUGUAGCAUUGAUGGGUAUAUAUUCGCUACUUUUAACGAGAAUCUAAAACCAGCUGGGACUGAACAACAUUUUGGUUUGUUUGAACCUACUGAUAUGAAGCCCGUCUACAAGUUGUUUUGAUUUUUUUAGAUUCUUGUUGUUAGACUAUUUAUUUUGUCUAAUUCAUUAUUUAUAACUCUCUGGUAUUUGCAAUAGAGUGGGAUAACCUGCAUCAUUUAUUUAUAAGAUUUCAGUUUUCUUUUGAUAUAAUGAGAUAUUGAAGCCGAACUCAAUUGUGUUUGGAGUUUGCUUUAUGAUGAAAUUUGAAAUUAUAUAUAUAUAUUUUUUAAAAGUGUAUUUAGUGUUACAAGUUUGAUGAUCGAGUAGGUAUGUUUGUUUGACAGAAGUUACAAAAGUAAGAAGUUCUGGAGAGUCUUGUGCUCGUUUAAACCAUGAACAUUUGAUUGAUAUGACAGAAGGCAAAACAUUUGUUUAUCAAUGGAGCUCAUUAUUAUCAGGCUUCCUGGAACAAGCUAAUCAGUCCUUCCUAGGAAGGACUCUCCAGCCAGAGAAUGACGCACAUCAUCUAGGACAACAAGAAUCCUUUUAUUGCAUAGGUUGUCCCUGUGAAGGUUCGGUCUCAUAAUGUACUGAGAACCCUACAUGUCAAACUCUCCUUAGAAUUUUACUAAUUUUUUCAUCAAGCAAAAGGUGAAGUUCUUCAUCAAAGGUUACGAUGAAAUAAGGAGAUCAUAAUCAGUGGAUGUGGCUAAAGACUGCUUUAGAAAGUGCUGUCUUGCCUAGGGGGCUUCUUUCAAAAGCCAAGUCUUAGAUUUUUGUGGUGCAAAGAGGCCAAAUGGUUAGCAUGAAUGGGUUUUUGUUUGCCACAUUCAAUGAGAAUCAGAAGCCAGCAGCUUGGAACCGAACAUAACUUGGGGGUUGGAAACAAUGCUCUAACAGUUGUAAAGUGGGGUAUGAUAAAAAUUUACAGUAGCACACUUUUAAUGGUGUUUGAAGUAAAUUAAUGAGAAAUUGCACUUCAUGUACAAAGAUAACUGCAUAAUUUGCAGAUAUGGAAAAGCCACUUUCUCGCUGAUGUGUCUUUUUAUAAUGGCUGUUGUACCCCUAUGUUGAGCGAAAACACAACCUAUACCAUAUUCAGAACCUCUGUAUCUCUACAUUACACGUGUUUAUUUUUUAUCAAGAGAGAGUUACUUCCUCAUCCACCAAUCGAUACACUCUUUGGUUUUCCUCGAUAAUUUCAUCGCCUAUUGCUACAAAAUUACCUCGUCUUCUCCAUCAUAAUUGAUACACUCUUGAUAUCUCCUCUCUUCUUAUCUUCAAAUUUAUCACCUUCUUUUCUUUUCUAUCGCCGUCACACCAUCAUGUCAACUAACCGUCGCAUCGUCACUCCAUCACACCAUUACCUCUGCUCAAGCUCGCCAUCACACAGUUACCUCACCUCUGCUCAAGCUCACCGUCACGCCGUCACCUCACGUAUGUUACAGCUUCCCGUCACCUCACCCUUGCUACAGCUUGCCUUCAUUUCAGCUAAUGGAGAGGAGGAAGAUCCAUGAUGCUAUAGAGGAGGAAGAAGAACAAGAGGAGAGAGAACAAAUAAAAGGAUGAGAGAGGAUGCCGAAGAAGAAGCGAAGAACAGAGGCUCCCGGAGACACGACGACGGAGACUGGCCAUAGAAGCUGACGGAAGAGUAAACGUCUGUUUACUGAUGACAUCCUGGAUUACUAGUUGCAUGAGUCUCUGUUGAAUCACACACAAAAUAAUCAUUGUUGCGAAUAAUAUAAUAUGUAUGAAUCACAGGUCUUGAAUAUCAUCUUCCUUGUUCAUUACGCGUUUAUGUUUUGAUUUCAUGCAAACAACAAAUGCAAUAUUACAAUUCAAGAUACAAUAUUAGUAAAACAUAAAUAAUUUGGUAUGAGUUAUCCCAAACCAGCUAACAAUAAGCAUAACCAUAUAAAGAAUAUAAAAUAUUUUAAUAGGAAAUCUUAUGUUUAGUCGAAUAUAAUAUAUUAUAUACGGCUAACCAUUUUUUUAACCAUAUAUUGUGAUUUAAUAGAUGGUUAAUUUUAUGUUUAACCGUAAAAGUAAAUUCAGUCAUAUAUUUUGCAGUUUAUUAGAGAGUUAAUUUUAUAUUUAGCCGUACAUGUAAAUCUAUUGCAAUUUGUUUGAGAGUUAAUUUUCUGUUUAGCCGAUCACAAAUUAAUAUUAUGUAUUGUGAUUUGUUAGAGAGUUAAUUUUCUGUUUAGCCGAACAUAUAUUUUUUUUACAUUCACUAGUCCAAACACCAAAUAUAAGACUAUUAAUGUGUUCGUUUUUCGUAGCCGGCUAACUAUAAAAAAAAGACAAAAAAAUAUGUUAACCGGUUAUUUCAUAAAUUACAUCAUUAUUAAAUAGAAAAACAAUUCCAAGAACUGUGAUAACAAUUAAGAAAAAGUACACUACUUCGGUACUUUACCCUUAGCCUGCUCUUGUCUUCUCAACUGAUCCACCAGAGAUGAUACUUGAUGAUGGUAAAGUGGCGGAGGCAGCGGUGGAUGGUGAUGAGACUAGUUCACGCGCCGUCGUACAAAGAGACGAAGAGAAAAAAUUGCUUUUUUAUAUUUCGUAUAUGAUUGGAUAGACGAAACUUUUAAAUCGAAUUGAAAAGAGUUUAUGAUUUACAAAAUUGAGAUUUGGAUUUGCCAAGAAAGAAAAAAGAGACGAUGAUAAUUCUGAAAAAUUACAGAAUAGAAAGAGAAAGAGAAAGAGAGAACGUGAAAGAAGAGACAAAAUAAUGUUUUUAACUUAAUAGAUUUCUCAUUUUUACAUAGAUAUUAAAUAAAAUAUUAAUUUGUUUCUCUUUCUUACCGUAGCAGAGCUAUAGGGGCAACUGUGUAAAUCCAACCAUGAACAGUUUGGGUUUCAGUGUGUUUUUGGCCCAAGUUCCAUAUUUACAAAUUUUAAACUUAUGUCAUAUUUUUUAUGCAAAUCGCUCAGGAAAAUAUAAUUUUUUUAUGUUUUGGCCAGCCACUAGGUAUUUUUACUACUAAAAAUUUCUUGGCAGGAACUACAUAUUUUCUUGAAAUUGAAGAUAUCACUCAAAGCAAAACAUAAUAGGUUCAGUGAAGAGUAAUAUCAACAGAGUAAUCUCUGUUUUGACAACUUUGAGUCAACCAGAAAAAAAAACAAAGAACUUUGAGCAAUAUCAGCAUCUCAUAUGCGCCAACCAAAUGAUUUGCUGGUAAGUUUAGUGACCAUACUUCUGGAACUCCCACUCACUGUUAUCUGUUAGAGCACACAUAUCGAUAUUAGCAAACAGACCAAAACUUCAAACAAGUCAAAAAGAUUACAAACAGAGAAGCACAUACCCAAUGGACAAACUUGACGAGUCUUUAGCCAUCUGCUGAUGCAGUGAAAGUGGAAGGCGUGGUUGCAAACUCCUGCAAGUAUCAACAUUCAUUAAGUCUUUAGUCAGGGGUAAGGCAAGUGUAUUUCGACUCGAGUUGUUCACAUACAUAUAUCAUAUAAUGAUUUUACGAUUCAAGAAAGUGACUCUCGUAAAUCACAUAUAUCUUAAUGAAAACUUCCUAGUCUCUCUAACAAAGGGUUCAAUCUACCUUCCCAGCUCACAAGAUUCAUCUUCAACCGAAUCAAGUCUCAAUUACGAAGCAAAGAUAACAUCAAUCAAAGACGUUGAAGAAACAAGACUUACCCCAAGCAACAGUGCACUCCUCACUCGUAGCACUGGCCUGAUUAGCCUGACAUUCAAUACCUAAUCCACAAACAAGCAACGAGGUUAACCUAAACCAUUCAACGAUACCGUUAUGAAUCGAUCGUUACUACUCUCGGGACUUACACAGAUCCAUGAUGUGGUUUCUGCAGAUAGCGCAAUUAUCAACAACGAUAUCUGCAAUCAAAAAGAAACAUCGAUCAAUACAAACCCUAGCUCACCACAAAACGAAAGAACAUAGACAUCAGAGGAUCGCUCGAGCUUUACCCCAAGCCCAGAGAGCCACGGCGCUCCACUUCUUAACUUCGAAUCUCUUCGCCUUCUUGGUGGAUGACGACGAUGGGGCGACGCUGCUUGAGGAUUCUCCUGCGGGAACCAUGGUGACGUCGGAAUCGAGGGAAGCCAUCGAUUUGAUCUCUCUGAUAACAAAGAGAAUCUGAAGAAGCGUCGGGUAGAAUUGAGAAUCUUGAUGAAGGAGAAGGGACAGACGCUUCGGAUCUAUUAUAAAAAGAGCUGAGAGAAAGGGAAAUAUUUAUUAUUACUUUGGGCUUUAUAAUGGGCUUUGUGAUGUUUCCAUAACCGACUUGCUUUGUUUUUUCAUAUUAUGUCAAUUUAACAUUAAUAAAAUCUAAAUUUUUUCUCCUUUACAAUUAAAAAGAAACGUUUAAAUUUGUUUAUUAAAUUAUGGAAAUAUAAUAACGAACAUGUUUUCUCCAUAUUUAAAUGCAAUAACGCAAGAAAUUAGAAAUGCAAACUGUUUUCUUCUUCAAUUUUUUUUUAAUAUAACUCAAAAUAAUAUACUAUUUAGAACUCUUUGGAAAUUAGCUCUUGUUUUUUGAGUUUUUGAACUUUGGACUUUUUUUCUAUGUAAGAAUACAAUUAUAUCUUAGUGAAAAGCAAAAGCAAAUUUCAAUUAUUUUGAAAUAAAUUUCAGAGCGGAUUAAUUAUUUUUUUAUCAUCUGUAGACACUCUAUAUAUAAUUAUACAAUUUAUAUCAUUUCAACCUUUGUAAAAUUGUUUUUAAUGUUUGUAGUUACAAAUGAGUAAUUAUCAAAAUAAUGCGCAGAAAAGUUUAUUCUUGAAACAUACUUUUCAAUUGUACUAAUUACAUGAAUAUUUCUUAAUAAAUUUCUAACUAUAAUCACUUGUUUUGAUUCUGCAACCUCUUGCAGCUUCAAAUUCUUGAAUCUACCUGUCUAUGUAAUAUGUUUAAAUUAGUCAAAGCUUUUAAAAUGAAAACUGAUUAAACAUAAAACUGGUAAUUAAAAAUACAAUAGUGUUUCUCUAUUUGCUGAAAAUAUACAUCCAAACCUAAACAGAUUUUCAAAAUCGGGAUACAUAGCUAUAUAACCAAGUGGUCUUUUAAGAUUGGAUCUGAGUUUUAAAUUAUUGAAAAUUUGGUCAGAAGUAUAGAAAAAAAUAAACAAAAAGAAAUGUAUAAUGAACACGAGGCUUACUUACAUAGCAAUAAAAUAACAUUUACAAUGAAAUCAAAUUUUAAAAAGACCAAUGGAAUAAAAACACGGAGGAGAGGGAUUUUCUUAUGUACUCCGUCUCCAACGCUCCUCUCCACCAUUUUCUCUUCUUACAAGCUUCCCCAGAGACGACUUUUCCCUGUUUUACCCAAACAUAUCCGGUUAGUUCUACUUCUUCAUCUUCUUUGCUUUCCUGAAUUUGUUUUACCAUUGAUAUUGGGACUUGCUUCGUUCGAUUAGUUUCUGACUAGAUUAACACCAAUCUUACUAUUUUAUUUCUCCUGAUGUUGUUUUGUAAUAAACCUCAAGACAAGUGCUAAGAAAAAAAAAUAUAUUUAGUUGUAUUUGAGGUUCAUGAAUAUCAGAAAACAUAAAACUUUAUUAAUGUACUCUUACCACAUACAUACAAAAUUACAAAUAUUUGUAAUUAUCUAGAUCCAUGUGAGUUCAUGUUAUGCCCUCUAAGGACACCUUACGUGUUGUACAUGCUGGCUAUGUUCCCCUCCUUUGUUUCUCUCUUAAGCUCUUGUGAUUCUCUGAUAAAAAAAACUUCUUUUCUGCAGCUUUUGUGCUUCAUCCUCUGAGUGGUUCUUAGUGCUUUCAAAGUACAUGAUGAGUAAAGUUAACAGUGAGGAAUCUUCUAGUAACCAAAAGUUAUUGAAGGAGGUAGAGACGAUCGGUGAAGCUUUGUAUGUGAACAAGAAUAAUCCUAGGAGGAGCUCAGCAUCUGGUCCUAAUAACAACACUUCAACAAAGCCCUUGGGUCGUACCACCCACUUAGCUGAGCCUCAGAAGGAAAAGAAGUCUUUUUGGAACUGGCCUCUCAGAGCUCUUUCUCAUGUCCGAAACCGACGGUUCAACUGUUGUUUCUUUGCUCAAGUACAUUCCAUAGAAGGCUUACCGCCGAUAUUCCAGGAUCUUUACCUCACUGUUCACUGGAAACGUCGUGAUGAGUCUUUAACCACUCGUCCUGCAAAAGUUUUGAACGGAAGAGCUGAGUUUAAGGACAAGCUGACGCAUACGUGCUCGGUUUACGGAAGCAGAAGCGGACAGCAUCACUCGGCUAAGUAUGAAGCGAAGCAUUUCUUGCUGUAUGCGUCUCUGGUUGGGUCUCCUGAGGUUGAUCUGGGGAAACAUCGGAUGGAUCUUACGAGAUUGCUUCCUCUAACGCUAGAGGAGUUGCAGGAUGAGAAGAGCACUGGGAAGUGGUCGACGACGUUUCAGUUGAGUGGGAAGGGUAGUGGUGCUACUCUGAGCAUGAGUUUUGGGUACACUGUUGUUGGGGAUACUCGCAGUGCUUCAAAUGCAAAGCAAACUAGCAAUAAUAUCACAGGGUUGACGAGGACUACUAGUACAAAGUCUGUAUCUCGGCGUUAUGAUCAUGGUAUUGUUAACAAAGAGUCUCGUCCUCUGUCUGAGAAUGUGGAGGAGAUCAAAGAUCUUCAUGAAGUUCUUCCCGUUGCACAAUCUGACCUGGCCAGUUCUGUGAACAUUCUGUAUCAAAAAUUUGAUGAGGAGAAGGUGGAUCGGGCAGCUGAGUCUCAGAUCGAAUUUGAGGUUGUCACUAAACACAUUGAACCUGUUGAGUCAUUUUCUCAAGAAAAUGAAGAUGCAAAUGAAACUGAGGUUCCUUUAGAGGAUGUUAAGAAGGUUGACGAAGUUCCUACUGCUGGAAGUGAGGAAGUUUUUACAGAAAACUUGCCUCCAGGAGAGCCUUUGGUAAACAGGAAUGAGACUGAUGUUUCUUUUGAAGAAUCAAAGAUAGUUGGUGAAGUUCCUAUUACUAGAAGUGAGGAAGUUGUUGAGAUUGGUACAGAAAGUUUGUCUCCAGAGGAGGGUAGCAAUGUUUCUAUAAAGGAAGAGAACAGUGGGAGAGACGUGAGAGAAAUGAUAAUGAAAGAUCUUGAAUCAGCUUUGAAAAGUGUAGAAAUGUUGGAAGCAACAGCGUCAGACGACGACGAGGAAGAUCAAGAAGACCGUGGAGGCUCAGAAACAUCCUAUAGAACACCAAAUAAGGAAGCAGCAGCAGUAUCAAGUUCGAGAGAUGUGGCAAGCGAGUUCCUAGACAUGCUAGGUAUUGAACACAGCCCUUUUAGUUUGAGUUUUGAGAGCGAACCUGAGUCUCCAAGGGAGCGCUUGUUAAGAGAGUUUGAAAUGGAAACUCUAGCGGCCGGUUCUUUGUUUGAUUUUACUAUUGAAUCUGAUGAAAACUUCUCAGAAGAGAAUGAAUCAGAUUUCGAUCUGGCAUCCCUAGUUCAAGAUAUAGAGGAAGAGUACCAGUUGGAAACUCAAGCAAGAGUCAGCAACCCCAGGGCCAAAACGUUAGAAGACUUGGAAACAGCAUCACUGAUGCGUGAGUGGGGUAUGAAUGAAAACACAUUCCAGAACUCUCCGCCUCACAAUGGUCGUAAUACGUUUCCUCCAGAACAGGAGCCAUUUGAUUUGCCUCCUCUAGGAGAUGGCCUUGGUCCAGUUGUGCAGACAAAGAACGGAGGGUUCUUGCGUUCAAUGAAUCCUUUACUAUUCAGAAACUCUAAAUCCGGAGGGAGCUUGAUCAUGCAAGUGUCAAGUCCAGUGGUGGUGCCUGCUGAGAUGGGCUCUGGUAUCAUGGAGAUACUUGAGAAACUAGCCACUGCUGGAAUUGAGAAGCUCUCAAUGCAGGCAAAUAAAGUAAUGCCUUUGGAUGAUAUAACAGGGAAAACUAUGGAAGAGUUGUUGUGGGAUGCUUCACCUGCAAUUGACGGUGGUAACAGGUUUGAAACCAAUCUUAUCAUCAUUCAUUCUGUUUUGUGAAAAAUGUUUACUUACGUUUUGGACGUAUUUGGUUUACUUCUCAAUGCAGGGAUCAUAUCUCACAGCAUGAAUCUGGUUUUGGGAGUGGAGCAUCAUCUGCAGCUAAUUCAAAAAAGUUUGGUUCAAGCUCUAGCAACAACAACUCUGGCUCGGAGUAUGUAUCACUUGAAGAUCUUGCUCCUUUGGCUAUGGACCAGAUUGAAGCACUUUCUUUAGAAGGGUUGAGAAUACAAUCAGGAAUGUCAGAGGAGGAUGCACCCUCUGAAAUAACUGCACAGUCAAUCGGAGAGAUCUCAGCCUUCCAAGGAAAAAGCGGGUGCGUUGGUCUAGAAGGAGCUGCUGGUUUACAACUUCUUGACAUAAAGGAUGACAGAGAUGACGAUGAUGAUGGGUUAAUGAGUCUCUCAUUGACUCUUGAUGAGUGGAUGAAGCUGGAUUCAGGUGACAUUGGAGACGAAGAUGAAAUAAAUGAGCAAACGUCGAAAAUCUUGGCUGCACAUCAUGCAAACCCACUGAACUUUAUCCGGAAAGGGGAGAAAAGAAAGGGGAAGAGAGGAAGGAGAUGUGGUUUACUUGGGAAUAACUUCACAGUAGCACUAAUGGUUCAACUCCGAGAUCCCUUAAGAAACUAUGAGCCAGUUGGAGCUCCCAUGCUUUCUCUUAUCCAGGUUGAGAGAUUGUUUGUUCCUCCAAAGCCCAUAAUCUAUAGUACAGUUUCAGAGGUGAGGAAAACCGAUGAAGAGGAAAAGGAAACUGAGGUGGUCAAAGAGGAUAAAACCGUUUUGGAGGAACAAGGAAUCCCUCAGUAUAAAAUCUCAGAGGUGCAUGUUACUGGUAUGAAGAGUGAGACUGAUAAAAAGCCAUGUGGAGUCAAGAGUCAGCAUCAGCAGGUGCAGUCUGGUUCAAGGUGGUUGAUGGCUAACGGAAUGGGGAAAGGGAACAACAAGCUUCCUCUUAUGAAACCAAAACCGGGUUCUAUAAAGUCUGGUGAUAAGUUGUGGAGUGUGUCUGGUUCUGGUUCUAAAUGGAAAGAGCUUGGGAAAGUGGGGAAGUGGAACACACACGUGCGGAAUCCGAAUGUGAUCAUGCCAAAAUGAAACAAGAACUAGUGUCUGGUUUCUGGUUUUCUUUUUAUGCUAUGUAAAGUUAAUGUUAUGUGGUGUGUUGAAUUGCUAGAUUCAUUUCAGUGUUGCACCUGUGUUUAUUUAUGUGUGUGUUAGUUUAGGUUUUGCGGAUCAAACUAAUCACUGUUUUGUGGUACAGUUAAGAGAUCAAUGGAACGAACAAGAGCCUUUGAACUUGGUGCAGUGCUUAUUAUAUGAUAGUGAGGCAUCUUAGACGUGUCUGCAAUGCAAUGCUUAUUACUUAAUUAAAAUUUAAGCCAUAGAGACAAGAAAAUGAAACACUUGGAACAAUUACACACAAUAAAAUGCUAAACGAACUUGAAUAAAAAGCACAUAAACUCACACACAAAAACUUAAAAAAAAAUGAAAUAUAAGCUUAAUCAGUUCCUCCAAGCACACCCUUAAGUUUCUUAACUUGUUCAUCACUAAGGAAGGUGGUGGCUUCAACGAGCUCUGAAGGCAAAUCAUUAGCAAACAAAGCAAACGGUAGAAUCUGGAGGCCUGGGGAGGAGCUUCCAAAGGCAACAAAGGCCAAGGCAGGGCCUUUCCCAGAGUUAAGCUGAAAAUGAAGAAGCCCUUGAGGAAACACCAUAGAAUCACCUCUCUGGAGAGUCUUCAAGUAAACUUUGUUAGCAGAGGAAAUAAACCCGGCGCAGAUGGUUCCUUGUAUGACUACAAGAACCUCAGACGCACCAGGAUGUGUGUGAAGAGGAAUGACACCACCACCGGCUAAGUCAAGACGAGCCAUUGAGACUCCAAGACCAUUGGUGCCUGCGAAAGCAGGGGCAAAGGCUGGCGUCACUGCGGCUUUAAUGAGGUUCGAAGUGUUUCCAGCUUUGGCGAGGCCGGAGAAUGCAAAGUCAUUUUAAUAAACCUCAAGACAAGUGCUAAGAAAAAAAAAUAUAUUUAGUUGUAUUUGAGGUUCAUGAAUAUCAGAAAACAUAAAACUUUAUUAAUGUACUCUUACCACAUACAUACAAAAUUACAAAUAUUUGUAAUUAUCUAGAUCCAUGUGAGUUCAUGUUAUGCCCUCUAAGGACACCUUACGUGUUGUACAUGCUGGCUAUGUUCCCCUCCUUUGUUUCUCUCUUAAGCUCUUGUGAUUCUCUGAUAAAAAAAACUUCUUUUCUGCAGCUUUUGUGCUUCAUCCUCUGAGUGGUUCUUAGUGCUUUCAAAGUACAUGAUGAGUAAAGUUAACAGUGAGGAAUCUUCUAGUAACCAAAAGUUAUUGAAGGAGGUAGAGACGAUCGGUGAAGCUUUGUAUGUGAACAAGAAUAAUCCUAGGAGGAGCUCAGCAUCUGGUCCUAAUAACAACACUUCAACAAAGCCCUUGGGUCGUACCACCCACUUAGCUGAGCCUCAGAAGGAAAAGAAGUCUUUUUGGAACUGGCCUCUCAGAGCUCUUUCUCAUGUCCGAAACCGACGGUUCAACUGUUGUUUCUUUGCUCAAGUACAUUCCAUAGAAGGCUUACCGCCGAUAUUCCAGGAUCUUUACCUCACUGUUCACUGGAAACGUCGUGAUGAGUCUUUAACCACUCGUCCUGCAAAAGUUUUGAACGGAAGAGCUGAGUUUAAGGACAAGCUGACGCAUACGUGCUCGGUUUACGGAAGCAGAAGCGGACAGCAUCACUCGGCUAAGUAUGAAGCGAAGCAUUUCUUGCUGUAUGCGUCUCUGGUUGGGUCUCCUGAGGUUGAUCUGGGGAAACAUCGGAUGGAUCUUACGAGAUUGCUUCCUCUAACGCUAGAGGAGUUGCAGGAUGAGAAGAGCACUGGGAAGUGGUCGACGACGUUUCAGUUGAGUGGGAAGGGUAGUGGUGCUACUCUGAGCAUGAGUUUUGGGUACACUGUUGUUGGGGAUACUCGCAGUGCUUCAAAUGCAAAGCAAACUAGCAAUAAUAUCACAGGGUUGACGAGGACUACUAGUACAAAGUCUGUAUCUCGGCGUUAUGAUCAUGGUAUUGUUAACAAAGAGUCUCGUCCUCUGUCUGAGAAUGUGGAGGAGAUCAAAGAUCUUCAUGAAGUUCUUCCCGUUGCACAAUCUGACCUGGCCAGUUCUGUGAACAUUCUGUAUCAAAAAUUUGAUGAGGAGAAGGUGGAUCGGGCAGCUGAGUCUCAGAUCGAAUUUGAGGUUGUCACUAAACACAUUGAACCUGUUGAGUCAUUUUCUCAAGAAAAUGAAGAUGCAAAUGAAACUGAGGUUCCUUUAGAGGAUGUUAAGAAGGUUGACGAAGUUCCUACUGCUGGAAGUGAGGAAGUUUUUACAGAAAACUUGCCUCCAGGAGAGCCUUUGGUAAACAGGAAUGAGACUGAUGUUUCUUUUGAAGAAUCAAAGAUAGUUGGUGAAGUUCCUAUUACUAGAAGUGAGGAAGUUGUUGAGAUUGGUACAGAAAGUUUGUCUCCAGAGGAGGGUAGCAAUGUUUCUAUAAAGGAAGAGAACAGUGGGAGAGACGUGAGAGAAAUGAUAAUGAAAGAUCUUGAAUCAGCUUUGAAAAGUGUAGAAAUGUUGGAAGCAACAGCGUCAGACGACGACGAGGAAGAUCAAGAAGACCGUGGAGGCUCAGAAACAUCCUAUAGAACACCAAAUAAGGAAGCAGCAGCAGUAUCAAGUUCGAGAGAUGUGGCAAGCGAGUUCCUAGACAUGCUAGGUAUUGAACACAGCCCUUUUAGUUUGAGUUUUGAGAGCGAACCUGAGUCUCCAAGGGAGCGCUUGUUAAGAGAGUUUGAAAUGGAAACUCUAGCGGCCGGUUCUUUGUUUGAUUUUACUAUUGAAUCUGAUGAAAACUUCUCAGAAGAGAAUGAAUCAGAUUUCGAUCUGGCAUCCCUAGUUCAAGAUAUAGAGGAAGAGUACCAGUUGGAAACUCAAGCAAGAGUCAGCAACCCCAGGGCCAAAACGUUAGAAGACUUGGAAACAGCAUCACUGAUGCGUGAGUGGGGUAUGAAUGAAAACACAUUCCAGAACUCUCCGCCUCACAAUGGUCGUAAUACGUUUCCUCCAGAACAGGAGCCAUUUGAUUUGCCUCCUCUAGGAGAUGGCCUUGGUCCAGUUGUGCAGACAAAGAACGGAGGGUUCUUGCGUUCAAUGAAUCCUUUACUAUUCAGAAACUCUAAAUCCGGAGGGAGCUUGAUCAUGCAAGUGUCAAGUCCAGUGGUGGUGCCUGCUGAGAUGGGCUCUGGUAUCAUGGAGAUACUUGAGAAACUAGCCACUGCUGGAAUUGAGAAGCUCUCAAUGCAGGCAAAUAAAGUAAUGCCUUUGGAUGAUAUAACAGGGAAAACUAUGGAAGAGUUGUUGUGGGAUGCUUCACCUGCAAUUGACGGUGGUAACAGGUUUGAAACCAAUCUUAUCAUCAUUCAUUCUGUUUUGUGAAAAAUGUUUACUUACGUUUUGGACGUAUUUGGUUUACUUCUCAAUGCAGGGAUCAUAUCUCACAGCAUGAAUCUGGUUUUGGGAGUGGAGCAUCAUCUGCAGCUAAUUCAAAAAAGUUUGGUUCAAGCUCUAGCAACAACAACUCUGGCUCGGAGUAUGUAUCACUUGAAGAUCUUGCUCCUUUGGCUAUGGACCAGAUUGAAGCACUUUCUUUAGAAGGGUUGAGAAUACAAUCAGGAAUGUCAGAGGAGGAUGCACCCUCUGAAAUAACUGCACAGUCAAUCGGAGAGAUCUCAGCCUUCCAAGGAAAAAGCGGGUGCGUUGGUCUAGAAGGAGCUGCUGGUUUACAACUUCUUGACAUAAAGGAUGACAGAGAUGACGAUGAUGAUGGGUUAAUGAGUCUCUCAUUGACUCUUGAUGAGUGGAUGAAGCUGGAUUCAGGUGACAUUGGAGACGAAGAUGAAAUAAAUGAGCAAACGUCGAAAAUCUUGGCUGCACAUCAUGCAAACCCACUGAACUUUAUCCGGAAAGGGGAGAAAAGAAAGGGGAAGAGAGGAAGGAGAUGUGGUUUACUUGGGAAUAACUUCACAGUAGCACUAAUGGUUCAACUCCGAGAUCCCUUAAGAAACUAUGAGCCAGUUGGAGCUCCCAUGCUUUCUCUUAUCCAGGUUGAGAGAUUGUUUGUUCCUCCAAAGCCCAUAAUCUAUAGUACAGUUUCAGAGGUGAGGAAAACCGAUGAAGAGGAAAAGGAAACUGAGGUGGUCAAAGAGGAUAAAACCGUUUUGGAGGAACAAGGAAUCCCUCAGUAUAAAAUCUCAGAGGUGCAUGUUACUGGUAUGAAGAGUGAGACUGAUAAAAAGCCAUGUGGAGUCAAGAGUCAGCAUCAGCAGGUGCAGUCUGGUUCAAGGUGGUUGAUGGCUAACGGAAUGGGGAAAGGGAACAACAAGCUUCCUCUUAUGAAACCAAAACCGGGUUCUAUAAAGUCUGGUGAUAAGUUGUGGAGUGUGUCUGGUUCUGGUUCUAAAUGGAAAGAGCUUGGGAAAGUGGGGAAGUGGAACACACACGUGCGGAAUCCGAAUGUGAUCAUGCCAAAAUGAAACAAGAACUAGUGUCUGGUUUCUGGUUUUCUUUUUAUGCUAUGUAAAGUUAAUGUUAUGUGGUGUGUUGAAUUGCUAGAUUCAUUUCAGUGUUGCACCUGUGUUUAUUUAUGUGUGUGUUAGUUUAGGUUUUGCGGAUCAAACUAAUCACUGUUUUGUGGUACAGUUAAGAGAUCAAUGGAACGAACAAGAGCCUUUGAACUUGGUGCAGUGCUUAUUAUAUGAUAGUGAGGCAUCUUAGACGUGUCUGCAAUGCAAUGCUUAUUACUUAAUUAAAAUUUAAGCCAUAGAGACAAGAAAAUGAAACACUUGGAACAAUUACACACAAUAAAAUGCUAAACGAACUUGAAUAAAAAGCACAUAAACUCACACACAAAAACUUAAAAAAAAAUGAAAUAUAAGCUUAAUCAGUUCCUCCAAGCACACCCUUAAGUUUCUUAACUUGUUCAUCACUAAGGAAGGUGGUGGCUUCAACGAGCUCUGAAGGCAAAUCAUUAGCAAACAAAGCAAACGGUAGAAUCUGGAGGCCUGGGGAGGAGCUUCCAAAGGCAACAAAGGCCAAGGCAGGGCCUUUCCCAGAGUUAAGCUGAAAAUGAAGAAGCCCUUGAGGAAACACCAUAGAAUCACCUCUCUGGAGAGUCUUCAAGUAAACUUUGUUAGCAGAGGAAAUAAACCCGGCGCAGAUGGUUCCUUGUAUGACUACAAGAACCUCAGACGCACCAGGAUGUGUGUGAAGAGGAAUGACACCACCACCGGCUAAGUCAAGACGAGCCAUUGAGACUCCAAGACCAUUGGUGCCUGCGAAAGCAGGGGCAAAGGCUGGCGUCACUGCGGCUUUAAUGAGGUUCGAAGUGUUUCCAGCUUUGGCGAGGCCGGAGAAUGCAAAGUCAUUUUCGGUGACUUGGUCAGGGUUCUUGCAAGAGUAUCCUGAUGGGCUUUGAGGACCCUUUGGAUCAGCUACACAGAAGUCUUGAACAGAGGCAAAAGAGGUUGAUGAAACUAGGGAGAGGAUGAAAAAAAUGUGAAUUAUCAUCUUCAUUUUCUUAUAGAUUAGUUAUACAAGAGUCUUGAAGUUAUGAGGAGAGAAAGAUAGGGGCGCCUAGUUUAUAUAGAGACCUAUAAGAUAUUGAUAUGGUUAACGUGAGGAUAGUCUUGAAGCAAGCGAGAGGGACCUUGUUUUUUGUUAGCAUUGCAUGCAUGUGAACUUUGGGUGUACGUACGCGGAGAAAAGCCCACAUGGCUGUCACAGGUUUUUGUCGGUUUGGAGAAUGGUGAUAAAUGGUUCGUUUUCAAUUAACUUAGCUUCUUAAGACAGUUUUGUUGAACUAAAUUUGAACUGCAGAAUAGUAUAAGUAAACACAUGUUUCAAGCAAAGUUUAGUAAAUCUAACUGCAGGGGCGUCUUUUCUAGUAUGCAAAUACAAAUAUGAUAGAUAUGUCAUACUAAAAGCAAAUUUAAAAUACUAAAAAUGAUUUUAUUCAUGCCAAAUGCUUUUAUCAUAAAUCUUAAAGUACCACUUAUUGGAGUGUAAACCAUCAUUGACUGAUAGAGUUAAAUUUCAAGAAUUGCUUGUGGACUCAAUCACUUGGUUCCACAUUAGCUUCUUAGUAUGAAACUAAAACUAAUAUAUAGUUUAGUUUCAUAAUACUUUUAAGAUAAAGAAAAUAAAUUCAAAUACUCUCAAGGUUUUGAUUCUGAUUAUCGUACAACGUAGUAAAAAUUCGAAGCUUGAAGGGUAAAAACUGUGAGAAGCUCCCAACGGUCUUUUACAAAAUCAAAAUAUCUUGGAGGAGUCGCUUUUUAUAAGAUAUUUUUGUAAAGAAGAUAUGGAAAAGUUGAAAGGAAUGGUUGAUGGAGAAGAAGAGAGAUCAGUGUAUGUGGUCCAGUUUUAAGUAGAGAGCAAACAUGUCUCCUCCUUCCCUAAUUUGGACUCCUCUGCACAGUAUCUUAUCCUCCUGUCUCAUCAUCUUUUAAGUUUGUGUGGCUCUUCAACGUUCCCUCUUACUCAGGGCGUUUACUAUAUCUUCCUCUCUUUUGAUUGAUCUUUAGAUUUUAAACCAUUUUCUUUUUUAUUUGAUGCAUAGUAUUUGUAUAAAUGUUGCUAAUGUGUUGUAACUCGGAUUUGAAUCCGGUAGCGAAAGACCAAGGUUUCUAGACCACCAGUUCAUGUAUACUAUUGCAAUGUCCAUACUAUUGCAGCUGCUGGUAUAACUUAUACUCCGGAUAUAUAUAUAAUGUGUGUCAUAAUAGCUGGGUAAGAAUAAUUAUUACACAAUUUCCUAUAACACACCGACAGUACACAUUAGGCCACCUAUCUCCGCUCUCUCGUAUAUGGGAUUCAUCCCGUUCCAACGGUCGGUGCAUAAAUUUUUCAAGGAUCGAAAGUCUUGUUUACUGACCCUGCAAUCACCACCUGAUAUUUUUCAGUGCUUUGGCCUCACUCAUAUAUGGUAUCGCGAAUCACUUCCCGAUAGGUCACCCAUUCUUCCGCUGCUCCAGCUUAAACACGCUUAACUCUAAAGUUCUAAACAGCUCAAAUGGUCUCUUACAAAGUCUAUUGGUCUUAUUCAGAAAAUUGAAACCUUUUUUAUUGGAUGAUCAUAAUACCGAUAUGUAACGGAAAAGGUAAGUCAAUUUUGGUGACAUAAGUAGCCAAAUCAAUCAUCUUAAACCUUUUCAUAUUUCACAACUCGGGAUGUUACAUUUUCUUUUACUCAAAUGGUAUUUGGUCAAAACUUGGCUCAUGCAUGGGGGCUUCUUGAAUUUGGUUAAAACUUAGUUCAUGCAUGGGCUUCUUCAAUUUUGUAAAAACUUAGUUCAUGCAUGGGCUUAUUAUAAGCAUUUGGUACAAUAGAGUUGAACUCUGCUUAGUUUUGUUCACAUAAAACCUGGGCCUUACUAUCGUUGGUAAAUUAAUCACAAUAAGACCAAAUAUCUAGUUGCCCACAAAAAAAAAGACCAAAUAUCCCCACAAAGAAUACAUGCAUAUGUGAACAAAAACAAACUAACGGUAUAUUAGAGCUAAUCAAAUAUUUGAAGUAUAUAAAAGAGAUCGAUCUGUAGACCUUUUUUUACUAGGAAAAUAAUAAUAGCAAGAACAUGAAUGAAAUAAACAUCGAGGACAACAAGCAAAGAGUGUCGGUUAAUCUUAAGGUGCAGAUCAAUAAAACGAAAGAGAAGGUUCAUUAGUUCCUCCAAGCACACCCUUAAGCCUCUUAACCUCUUCAUGGCUAAGGAAGUUCGUGGCUUCAACGAGUUCUGAAGGCAAAUCACUUGCAAACAACGCAUUGGGUACAAGCUGGACGCCAGGGUUGGAGCUUCCGAAGGCAGCAAAGGCCAUGGCAGGGCCUGUCCCACCGUUAAGCGCAAAAUGAAGAAGCCCUUGAGGAAACACUAUAACCUCACCUUUCUGGAGAGUCUUCAAGUAAACUUUAUUAGCAGAUGAAAUAAUCCCUGCGCGGAUGGUUCCUUCUAUGACGAUAAGAACCUCAGACGCACCGGAAUGAAUGUGAAUAGGAACAACACCACCCUCGGCUAAGUCAAGACGAGCCACUGAGACUCCAAGACCAUUGACGCCAGCGAAAGCAGGGGCAAAGCCUGUAGCCACUGCGGCUUUAAUCAUGUUUGAAGUGUUUCCAGCUUUGGCGAUGCCUGAGAAUGCGAAGUCAUCUGCUGUGACCUGGUCAGGGUUCUUGCAAGAGUAUCCUGAUGGGCUUUGAGGACCGCUCGGAUCAGCUAUACAAAAGUCUUGAACUGAGGCAGAAGAGAUGGAUGAAACUAGGGAGAGGAUCAUGAAGAAAAUGCGGAUAAUCAUUUUCAUUUUCUAAGAAGUUAAUUUAUACAAGAGAACUGAAGUUACGAGGGAGAAGGAUCUAGUUUAUAUAGAGAUGCAUAUGGUUAACGCUAGUAUUGUCUAGAAGCAAGCGAGAUGGAAUUUUUUUAAUGCAUAUGAGCAAACCCCUUCCCUGAAUGGUAGAGCACAAUUUUAGACCAGCAACUAAUAAAAAAGUUCUGGGGCCACAUGUCUAAAACGUGUUUUGGUCAAAUUGCUUGAUUUCUUUAGUUCGAUCCUUGUGGAAGAGAGGAUUUUAAAGUGACUUUCCGUUUUGAUUUAUUUAUUUAUUUUAUUCAUUCUAUUUUCUCCUCACCUUUUUAAUAAUGUAUAACCAAAUAAUUUUAUGCUCUUCUUUUACUCCUUUUUUUUUCUAAUUUUAGUUUGACUAAUAGUUUUGAAUAUGUAAUUUAAAAUUUCGAAAUCAUUUUUUUCAGAAAAAACACCAGUAUAUUAUUAGAUUAUAAUUAAUAAAAAUCUAAAAAAACAAAGUAAAAAUUAACAUAUUUUCAAAAUAGUUCAUGUUUUAAAACUUUGAAACCAAAAUUUUUAGCAUAUCCAAACUACUAUAUUUACAAAAUAUUAAAAUAAUUUUUUUUUGGGAUGAUCAUAUUAAAUAUUAUUUUAAUUUGAAUAUUAAUAUAAUUAGAUUAUAUAAUAUAUACCGUUAAAUAUUUUAAUAUAGGAUCACAUUUUAAAAAUGUGUUUUAAUUAAGCCACUAAAAUUUUAGGACGGCAUGUCAACUUUGGGUGUACUGGAAAAAGCCACAUGAAAGUGAUGGGAUCAAAAGACAAAACAACGGCAACAUAAAGAAUGCAGAAACUUUGUCAGUGGAGAAUGUUGAUAAAUGGUUCGUUUUUAAUAAACUAUAAUUUUCUAAGAGUUUUUUUAAAGGCUUUCAUAUUGAGAAAUAAACAGGUACAUAGGAUAACAAGAAUGCAGGAAAAAAAACAGAGCAUUACAGAGAAGAUAUAACAACUAAAAGCAAGAAAAGAAAGGAGAGAUGGCCACAACUGAAACAUUCAGAGUGAAGAUGAAGGAAAAUAAUCAUGAGCACAUGGAAAAGCAAAACACAACGAAGGAAGGGAGCACUGGAGGGAAAACCACACUGACCAAAGCUCAAGUAAAGUGUCGCCCAUGGAAGAGCCAACGUUGGACAAAGCCAAAGACUUAUGUUUUAACUUUUUCAAACUCAAACCAGCAACUGCCAGAUGAAGAGAAAGACCCCGGUGGAACCUCUCAUUUCUUUCAUGCCAGACGAAGUAAUACAUCCAUUACGCAACUGCAACAAAGCAGAGAAGACCACUUUAUUAGGAGUAGCAUUGUUCUACCAAAUUUACAAGUCAUCCCAAUGGCAUGGGACAUUUUGGAAACCAAGUUUUUCAGCCAAGCGAACCCAGAUAAAGCUAGAGAAAGGACAAUUAAAUAAAUUAAGAUGAUCUCUUGAUUCCGGAUGUAAACCACAGAGAAGACAAAUUAUCUCUCCAUCCCAACCCCACGGAGGUGUUAAACCACAGAGGUCUUAGGCCACCUCAUUAAGAUAGAUACAAAAAGUUUGGCCCAAACUUUUGAAAAUGAUGUGUUAUUAGAUAAAACCACUCUUCUUCUGUUUUUGCAUUUUGUUUCACUGUAAAUUUUCCUUUUGACUUUUAAAUUUAUUCUUUUAGUUUUGAUAUAGUUCUAUAAAUAUAAGGGCCAUAUUUCUUACAAGUUCUAGGCCCCUCUUAAAUGUCUAGGAUAACACUGUGCAUAUCAUUUGUAUAAAUGUUGAUGUUGUGCUGAAACUUGGAUUUGAAUCCGUUAGUGAAAGGCCGCGGUUUAUAGACUGCCAGUUCAUAUAUAUAUUAUUGCAUGCUGCCAAAAGAAGUUCAUACUUCAUUCUAUUGCAGCCGCUGGUUAUAAUCUAAGUAGCACGGAAGCUUAACUAGAUAUUUACUUCUGUUUUAAAAUCUUUGAUUCUGUUUUAAAAAUUCAAAUGUCAUUAAAUAAAUAAAAACUAAAAAAAUUAUAUUAUAUUUUUAAUUUUAUAUAAAAUUUGAAAAUAAUAGUAUUUAUAUAAAAAUAAAAGAAUAUGUAUGUAUCAGCAGCAAGAUAUAUUUUUGUGCAUAAUAGUGCAUUGUGUGUUUCUGAGAGAUUAAAUAACUAUCAUUAAUUGGAUAAUAUUUCUCUUAAAAUUUUAAUUUGUUAGUAUUUUCACAACAUACAUAACAUACAGUAAUAUGAAUUCAGUUGACUUGAUAUAAAUUAUUAAAAUGAAUAAGCGAUUCCUAUUAAUUUGAAUAGUAUAAUUUAGUUCUGAUUUUUAUAAAAUUGUUAUUAUCUAUAAAUAUUUGUAUAUAUACUUUUAACACGUAUUUAUAUCUUAAAUUUUUUAGAAAUCUUGUUUUUGUGUGUUUUUUACGAUUUAGCUUCUGCGUUCUCGAUUCCGACUCAAGGCAAAAAUCUGAUACGGCGUGCUAUGUGUAUAAUAGCAGCGUAUGAAUACUUGUUACACAAUUCUCUUUUACGCAAUUGGUAUUUGGUCAAAACUUGGUUCAUGCAUGGGGUUCUUGAAUUUGAUAAAAAUUUAGAACACCUUUAACGGUAGCUUAAAAAAAUAUUUAAAAAUAAGCGGGUCUCACCUUAUAAUCAAGAACUGCCUCUUCUGCAAAAGGCGACUUUAGUUUUGUUUGUGUAUUAUUCGCGGACUCCAUUGACACGUGGUGGUCUGCGAUUGGUCCGUUUUUAUUUUUUUAGAAGAAAAAAAAUCGGACCAAAAAAAAAAAACUAAGAACCCACGCCCUCUCCCCUAGCGUUAAUCAUGCUCUUAGUUCAUGCAUGGGCUAAAACGAAAUUUUGGCCUUACGCGCGUUGGUAAGUUAAUCAGAAUAAGACCAAAUAUGCCCACAAAGAAAUGCAUGCAUAUGUGAACAGAAACAAACUAACGGUAUAUCAGAGGUAUACCACUAAGCGUAUUAUUUGUAGGUUUUAUAAUAAUCAAAUAUUUGAAGUAUAUAAAGAGAUUGAUCUGUAGACAUUUUUUUUGCAAAAACAUGAAUGAGAAAAACAUCGAGGACAACAAGCAAAGAGUGUCAGUUAAUAUUAAGGUGCAGAUCAAACUAAUCUCUGUUUGUGGUCCAGUUAAGAGAUCAAUGGAACCAACAAGAACCUGUGAACUUGGUGCAAUGCUCAUUAAUUAUUUGAUAACUGCGAGGCAUCUUAGACCUCUACAGUGCUUAUUAUUUGAUAGGUGCCGAGGCAUCUUAGACGUUUGCAAUGCAAUGCUUAUUAUUUCAUACAAUUCAAGAGAAGCUUAGUUACUUCCUCCAAACACACGCUUAAGUCUCCUAAUCUCUUCACGGCUAAGGAAAGUCGUGGCUUCAACGAGUUCUGAAGGCAAAUCACUUGCAAACAGAGCACUGGGUACAAGCUGUACGCCGGGGUUGGAGCUUCCGAGCGCAGCAAAGGCCAAGGCAGGGCCUGUCCCAUUGUUAAGCGCAAAGUGAAGAAGUCCUUGAGGAAACACAAUAACCUCGCCUUUCUGGAGAGUUUUCAAGUAAACUUUGUUAUCAGAGGAAAUAAAUCCUCCGCGGAUGGUUCCUUCUAUAACUAUAAGAACCUCAGACGCACCACGAUGAAUGUGAAGAGGGACUACACCACCAGCGGCUAAGUCAAGACGAACCACAGAGAUUCCGAGGCCAUUGACGCCUGAGAAAGCAGGGGCAAAGGCUGUAGUCACUGCGGCUUUAAUCAUGUUAGAAGUGUUUCCCGCUUUGGCAAGACCGGAGAAUGCGAAGUCGUUCGCGGUGACCUGGUCAGGGUUCUUGCAAGAAAAUCCUGAUGGGCCUUGAGGACCGCUCGGAUCAGCUACACAAAAGUCUUGAACUGAAGCAAAAGAGAUGGACGAAACUAGGGAGAGGAUGAAGAAAAUGUUGAUUAUCAUCAUCUU